AUGCGAUCUUCAGGACCAAAAGGAUGCCGGAGGAGUGGAGGUGGAGUACAGUGGUGCCCUUGUACAAGAACAAAGGGGAUGUCCAGUGCUGCAACAACUAUCGGGGUAUCAAAUUAGUAAGUCACUCCAUGAAGUUCUGGGAGCGGGUGAUCGAGGCGAGGGUGAGGGAGAUGACAUCUAUAACUGUGAACCAGUUCGGUUUCAUGCGGGGUCGCUCCACUACAGAAGCUAUCCACCUUGUCAGGAGAUUAGUGGAACAGUUCAGGGAUAAGAAAAAGGACGUGCACAUGGUGUUUAUCGACCUGGAGAAGGCGUAUGAUAAGGUCCCAAGGGAGGUGCUUGGAGGCGAAGAGCGUGCCGGAAGCAUACAUCAGAGUAAUCAAGGACAUGUACGAUGGAGCUAAGACUAGGGUUAGGACGGGGGGGGGCGACUCAGACGUCCCAAGGGAGGUGCUAUGGAGGUGCGUGGAGGCGAAGAACGUGCCGGAAGCAUACAUCGGAAUAAUCAAAGACAUGUAUGAUGGAGCUAAGACUAGGGCUAGGAUGGUGGGUGGUGACUCAGACCAUUUUCCAGUGGUUAUAGGGCUCCAUCAAGGAUCGGCGCUUAGCCCUCUCUUGAGGCUCUAACUCGUCAUAUUCAAGGGGAUGUGCUUUGGUGUAUGCUAUUUGCUGAUGACAUAAUCUUGAUAGACGAGACCAGGGCCGGUGUUAAUGAGAGGCUAGAGGUAUGGAGACAGACUCUCGAGUCUAAGGGUUUCAGAAUAAGCAGAUCUAAGACAGAAUACCUGGAGUGCAAGUUUAGCGUCGAGCCGAGCGNNNNNNNNNNNNNNNNNNNNNNNNNNNNNNNNNNNNNNNNNNNNNNNNNNNNNNNNNNNNNNNNNNNNNNNNNNNNNNNNNNAGGGGGACGGAGAGAUUGACGGGGAUGUCACUCACCGUAUAGGAGCGGGGUGGUCGAAGUGGAGGCUUGCAUUAGGAGUCCUGUGUGACAAGAAAGUACCACAGAAACUCAAGGGGAAAUUUUAUAGAGUUGUGGUUAGACCUGCCAUGUUGUAUGGAGCGGAGUGUUGGCCGGUGAAGAACUCAUCUUCAGAGAAUGAAAGGUUGCGGAGAUGAGGAUGCUCAGGUGGAUGUGUGGGAUCACCAGGUUAGAUAAGAUUAAGAAUGAAGUUAUUCGAGAGAAGGUGGGGGUGGCUCCGNNNNNNNNNNNNNNNNNNNNNNNNNNNNNNNNNNNNNNNNNNNNNNNNNNNNNNNNNNNNNNNNNNNNNNNNNNNNNNNNNNNNNNNNNNNNNNNNNNNNNNNNNNNNNNNNNGUGGUUCGGGCAUGUGCGGAGGAGAAGUCUUGAUGCCCCGGUGAGGAGUUGUGAGCGGCUGGCGGUGGUUGGUGUGAGGCGAGGCAGAGGGAGACCUAAGAGGUAUUGGGGAGAGGUGAUUAGGCAUGACAUGGCUAGAAUGCAGAUUUCCGAGGAUAUGACCCUUGAUAGGAAAGUCUGGAGGUUUAGUAUCAGAGUGUUAGGAUAGGGGCUCCUAGAAUUUUUCGUACUCCUUUUCCGGGGCUGGGAGGCUUGGCAGGGCUAUCCAUAGAUGAUUCGUAUAUUGGAUUGUGUCCUCCUUAUGGUAGUUAUUUAUGGUAGUUACUGUUUGGUAUUAUUUAUGGUAAUUACUGUUUAAUAUUAUUGUAUGCCAUUUUAUUUAUGGUUCUUAUGUUUAGAUAAUUAUUUAUGCGAUUUCAGCUGGAGAUACUAAUGAUCAUUUGUUUUUGUUUUUCCUUUCCUCCCCUAAGCCGUGGGUCGAUUGGAAACAUCCUCUCUGGCCUUCCGGGCAGGGGUAAGGCAUAUCUACAUAUUGCCCUCCACAAACCCCACUUUGUGGGAUUAUACUGGGUAGUAGUUGUUGUUGUAUCUAUAUUUCAAGUUUGCCUCAAUUGUUUUACAGGAGUACUAGCUUUCGUCCAUUUUCAGUGGCUAUUGGAGAGUAGGAUUAGUACAUUGCCCUUUCACUAUGACAUUUUGAGUGAUGUCGUACCAACCCUAAGUCCUCAACAUAUCUUCAUAUAUUAUUCAUAAUUCGUGCUUUCUCCCUGUAUACUUUCUCCAUUUGAUUUUUUUUCCAAUAUCAACUAGGGUAGGAUUAUCCCAAGGGUCUUAUAUAUUCUGAGAGGAGUUGUACCAAGUAGCAACCCUCACAGUACAUGACUCAAUUUUGUGUUCAUUUCUUGUUUACUGACUUUCUCUACGUGAUGUUUCUUUUAAUUGCCACUAUUCUUCUUUAACUUGCAGGAUCUGGAGAGAAUUCUUGCUGACAAUCAUGGGCUGCGUGAAAAAGAACCAUUCUUCCUUUCGAAAGCAAAUAAUGAGGUACUGAUUCUCAAUCCUGUGGGACAAGUGAUGUAUAAAUUUGGGGCCCAUUUGGGUUAGCUGAAUAAAAGCAGCAAGGGCUUAAAAACACUUUUUAAGUAUGGGAGCUGUUUUUAUGAAUAUGUAGUUACGCGUUUGGAUAAAAAUACUGAAUCUGAAAACAAGCAGUGAUGCAUUUGGCGAAAAAGUGUCGUUAAGAGCUUUUUCUGUUAAAAUUACUGAAAUGUCCUUAAAUCUGUUAAUAUUAAAAAUAUUGUUUUUAAAGAAUUUUCUCUGAAAUUUUUUGAAAUGUUUGUGUUUAGAUUUUUUUUUUUUGUGAUAAUUACCGUUUGUUAUUCUUUACUACUGACAAGUUUGCUUUUUGUUUGGUAAAAGGAAAUAGAGUCUCUAACUCCCAAAAAAAAAAAAAAAUAUUUUCAAGAAAUAUUAGUUGUGAAACUUGCUACUAACAACGGAGGAUGUGUUUUUUUUAGAAAGGGAUUCAAUCCUGAACCCUUGUCCCUUUGAAGACCAUCUGAAAUUGCAUUGAAUGGUCAUAAUUUCAAAAGCUCCACCAAAUCUCAACUAGCACAAUUAUCUUUUUCAAUUGCAUAAAUAAAGUGAGAUCCUUGUAGAAGCUUUAACUUUUUGAGAGUUUCAAGAAUAUCAACAAAAGAAGAAUACUCUAUAUGAUGGUUGCUUUCUAACUAAUGCACAGAAAACAAAAACAGUGUGAAGAUAAGUUAGACACACCACUGGUUUAUGCAAUAGAGAUAGCCAUGCAAGUCAAAGAUGAAAACUUGUGGAGGAAUAAAGAAGAAACGAAACUAGUAGAGUUGGGACCUUUUGUUAUGUAGGGUUCUUUAAAUUAUGGAAAAGUGUAAGGAAUAAAAAAGGUAAAAUCAUUGGUCAAACAAAAACAACUUUUAAGCCAAAAAACGAUAAGUUGGGGUUGCCCAGGUUAUGGCUUUUGGCUUGUUUUAAGCACUUUUACAACUUGCCAAACACUGAAAAGAGCUUAAGUGAUAGAGAUUACAUGGAGUUAACCUCGGGCUGACCUAACCACAAACAAAAAUAGACUCCUUGGACUGGCUAGAUUUCCUAAAUAAAUAUGGAGAAAUUGCCAUCAGACAUGCUUGAAGAAACAGCUGAAUGAUGCUAGGUUAAUUUCUGACUAAGUUGCUAAUAAAUGUCUAUUAAUGGACUAAAUAAACCUGAGAAGUAGUUCAAUGAAGAAAUAUCAUCUUGUGUACUUAAGCAAUCCAGAUGCUUGCUUUGACGUGAAAUACCUAGAGGGGACUAUUGAAAUAAUGUAAUUGUUGAAGACAUAAUUAAGUAAAUAAAAGUAUGUUCUCCCUUACGGCUUAAACUUUUAGAUGAGAUGGUCAUACACUUCAACAUGGUAUCAAAACCAAGAAGAGUUUUCUGGGUUUGAGUCUCACCACCACCAAAUAUCAAAAAGAAUUUUACGUGUUUGACUCAUAAAAAAGAAUCAAACCUGCAUGUGAGGAGGUGUGUUGAAGACAUAAUUAAGUAAAUAAAAGUAUGUUCUUUGUAAUAGCUUAAGCUUUUAGAUGAGAUGGUCACACACUUUGACAGUAGUACUAGUUAGUUUGAGAUCCUAUGUUAUUGGUUAACGCAAUAAGAGAUAGUGAUAUACAAUGAGCUUAAAGACAUCUCUGAUCUGCAUACAACAAACAAUGGUGGAUUGCAAAGUUAAGCAAAAUUUCUUGAAAGAGAAAAGACAAAUCUUCUACUCAGUAAGCCGAAGUUACUGCCAAAAAUAUUCUUGAUAAGUAUUGUGCAAGGCUUUCAGUGUUCUGUGAAUAUCUUUUACUGGUUCCUCCAUAACUUCUUAUCCUAUUUUUGGAGAAUGCUGAAAUUUUGUUCUUUUUGCAAUUUGGAUUACCAUGCUGGAAGAGCAUUCCUGCUUUAACCUGACAGUUGGCAGUUAUGCUUCUCUUUUCUGUAUACCAAUUAUCUUCAGCUUAUAAGAAAACUGUAGCGUAAACUUACGGUCAUGUACAUUGUUUCUUUCCCAAGUGUGGGAGCUGGGAGAAUUUAAGUUGAGAUAAUUGGGCACCACAAAGCAUUAGUUGGUGCUUGAUGAUAAUUGAUAAGUUCUGAACCUGUAGAGUUAGGCAUGAGAAAAUAGUGCUAAACAAUUCAUCUACAAAUUUCAAGGCCAAUGGAUGAGCUGAAGGUUGAGAGUUGCCUCAUCAUUUGAAAGCCACAAGAGACUGAAGAUUUGUGACUGUUUGGUCUGUUAAUGGAUAUGUUCUCUGCUUCUUUUCACUUGUGGCACAAUUUCUUUAGUACCUGUGAGCUGAUCAAGAAUUGAGCGAACCAUUGAAAAACUAAACUAACCUACAGAGCUUUUCUAUGCUUGGUGUACACUAAAUCUAGAUGUAUCAGAAACUUCAGCUCGGAGUUUCCUUCAUCUAUGUGCAUGAUUUCACUGCUUAUAACCAAUCCUUCUCUUUUGUAUUCCAAAUUUACAGAAAAGCUUUUACCUGUGCAGCCUGUGCUAGAUAAUUUCCUCGAAGAAUAUGGGAAAGCUUCAUCAAUGUCAUUUCUAACAGCUGCAAAUUAAAUAGGAAUGCCAAAUUUACAGAAAGCUUUUACCUGUGCAGCCUGUGCUUGAUAAUUUCCUCGAAGAAAACGGGAAAGCUUCAUCAAUGGCAUUUCUAACAGCUGCAAAUUAAAUAGGAAUGCCGCAUAUCACCUUCUGGCACGUUCAUGCUUGCAGUUGUCCACCGUCUGAUUUGGAUAUUUUAGCACAUGCAUUUCUUUAGCCAUUUAUCAAUGUAAGAUGUAGUUUUUUUUUUCUCGUUUCUUUUUAAUUUCUUUAUUUUUUCAUUUAUGUUUUCUUUCGUUUUAUUUUAUUUUAUUUAUCUUUUGCUCUGCCUCUUCAUGAGGUGUAAGAAGAGGGUUUGGAGAAAAAGUAAAUAGGGGCAUGUACUGGAUCGGCCAGUACUACAAUUUGUAGAUUCAGGUUGAGAAGAGAUGGCAUCCAUUUUUCCUUCUCAUCUUGGAUGAGAUUUUGUUUAUUUUCUUAACAUAUAUUUUACUAAUUUUAUUCUAGGAAGAGUUUAUUUAGUAAUAGUAAGAAUGUUUUUGCCUUGCUCUGUACACAAUUACUUGAGCUGAUAAAUUACUGUCAGUUUCUAGGGUUUGGAAAGCAAUGUCACCAGAAUUCUAUUGAAAUGCAUUAAUUUUUAGAAAAUCUGUCAGUCGUUUUUUAAUUCUUUCAUAGUGAUCUGAAUACAAGGUUUGAACCUUUGACAUCGAAUAUUCAUUUGUUUAGCGUUUCAUCUAGCAACGCAAACAAAGGUAUUUGUUAAUCAAUAUUGAAAUUAACGAAUUUUAUGUGUAUAUAUAUAAACAGCAAUAGAUUUAAACAUUGACCAAACAAUAACGUUCCAAGAAAUCCAAAACCUCCAACAAUAGUUCUAAUCUUUCAUAAGAGUGUGAAAACUAUCUCUGGCCCGCCUUUGAACAAGCUCUUCCACCAAUCACAUUUGUUUUGCUUAGUAAAAAGAAUUGAAACUUCAUUUCUGAUCUUCUAAACUCCAAUAACACUCAUCGCCUUUCACUGCCUUGAAAAAUGGGGGUUUUGACACCGUUACAUACAAAAAGGUAAAAAUUGCACGGGGUGCCUUAUUUGGGUGCUCCUUUUUAACUUGUAGUUGUUGUCUUUUUGUUUGCAUUCGUACCUAUUUUUUAAAAAACUUCAGCUUCCCUUUAUAACUGAAAAAUUUCAGCUCUAGAGUUGAAGUUUUUAUUUUAUAACUAGAGCUGAAGUUUUCAGGUUAUUAAAUAAAAAAUUUAGUUAGAGUUGAAGUUUUUAUUUUAUAACUGGUAAAUUUAAGCUGGAAAAUUGCUUAAGUUUUUAUUUUAUACCUUGAAAACCUAAGCUGGAAAACUGCUUAAGUUUUUAUUUUAUAACUGGAAAACUUAAGCUCAAGAGCUUAAGUUUUUAUUUUAUAACUGAAAAACAUAAGUUGGAAAACUGCUUAAGUUUUAUUUUAUAACUGGAAAACUUAAGCUUUAAAGCUUAAGUUUUUCGGUUACAAAGACAAAAGCUUCAGCUGAAAUUUUCCAGUACAAAAGAAAAACUUCAGCCCCGUGGGCUGAAGUUAUGUGAAAAAGCGGGUACGCUUGCAAUUUUUUUUUCAAAGCGGACACAAGUUAAAAUAUGACACAAAAAACGGGUAUAGAUGCAAAUGCCCCUACAAAAAUAAAACUAUUUACCCUUGUUUACCCAUUUAUUUUUCUACCCAUAAUCUAAUUACAUUUCCUAUCCAUAAUAGUUUUUGUAGGAAAAUUUUUCUUUAUUCUUCAAUUCUUUUUUAUUUCAAUGCUUCUUUUCUUUUUUCAUUUUUUCUUUUCUUUUCUUUUUCCUUUUCUUUUUUCUCAUUUUCUUCCUAUUUUUUUAUUUUUCUCUUUUAUUCACUUAUUUUUGCCCAGAUCGUAUUAUUGUUAUUUUUUUUCACACUCAAAUUUGACUCCUUUAUUUUUUUUAUUUUUUCUUUAUUUCUUGUUCUUUUUUUUAAUUCCACGCGAUUGCCAUGGAAACAUUGAUCUCCUCCCCUGCAAAUAUUAGUACAUACUCUACUAUUAACAGUAACACCAACUAGUGGUGGAGCAAGACAAUAUAAUCACGGCCGUUAAAUCUCCAUAUAUACUAGUUAGAAUAGAAAUGAAUCAAAUGAUAAUAAAAUAUUAAAAAAUACAAUAAACGUAUAAGUAGCAAAAAAGACUUCUAGUACCACAUGAUACCAAUAUGGUAUACAUGUAUACCGACAUAGUAUAUAAUUGCUCUAGAAUAUUGUUACAACUAUCUAUGACUAUACUACUAUACCAAAACAUUAAAGGAUACAAUAAAAGUAUGAGAAAAUUACAUGCUCGCAUAGCAAGCUAAAUAUUCGCAAAGCAACUUGCUCAUUUCAUACACUAACAGGGUAUAUAGUUGUAUGGGACGUUCCAACAAUUGCCUAUAAUUAUAAAAACACAUAAUCUAUGACACACAUAAUCUAUAUCCAUCAGCACAAAAUUUUCCAGCACUACAAAUCACGUUCAUAUAAAUAAUUUCAUAAUAGAAUUCACUUAAAAAUACAGCAAAAACAACCAAAAAAAUAUUCAAACUACCAUAUGAUACCAAUAUGGCAUAUAACUAUACCAACAUGGUAUACAGUUUUACUCUAAAACAAUCAAAACAAUAUUCAAACUACCAUAUGAUACCAAUAUGACAUAUAACUAUAUCAACAUGGUAUACAACUUUAUUGGUUAAUUUCCGGCAACUAUAUGAAUAUACUACUAUUACAUAACACACAUGCAUAAAGAGAGAAAAAAAAUAGUGUACUAUAUAUUAAUAUAAUAAAGUAUUUUAAGAUAUUGAACUAUAUUACUAUUAUUAAAAGAAAAUUAAAUAUUGUACUAAUAAAUGCACCUAAUACGACCAAAAAAGUAAUUCAACUAGCAUAUGAUACCAAUGUAGUAUAUAGCUAUACUAAUAGGAUAUAUAGUUGGAAUGAAUUAUAUACCAAAAUGGUAUAUUUGUAUACUAUUUGAGUAUACAAUAUAAAUUCCUCUUCUUCUCUUGUUCAACUAUAUUUCAACCCAAACUUCUAAAAUCUACUAUAAAAUCUCCACCAAAUUGACUAAAACUAUAGCUACAACCUCCAAUAAACUUUUCAAACAAAUCCAUAUAGGAUCAGAUCAAAAUAAUUAAAAACUCAAACAAACCAAGUUAUGAGUUUCAAGCUUCAAGGUCCUUCAAUGGUGAAUUUGGAUUUUUGUACAAUAAAUCUCCAAAAAUAAGUUUGGGUGAAGAGAAAGAAGAAGGUAUUAGUGAGAAACAAGUGUGAAAUGCCAUUGAUGAUGAACCUUAGAAUACUACAAUAAGAGAAAAUCAUUUUAGAAUUAAACCCCAUAAUUGAAAUGGAAACGAAUUCAAGUGUUAACUCUAGAAAACUAAUUGGUUUAUAGAAGAAGAAGAAAAUAGAGGAAGAAUGGAACUCUAUUUACAGCUCUAAGCACCAUCCCUCUCGUGCUGACUUCCUUCCCAAAUUUAUAUUCGGUGUUGUUCUGCUUGCUAGAUUUCUUCCUCUUCUAUUUCAUUUUAACCGGGUAAAUAGUUUGGGCUCCAUGGGUAAGAGUAGUAAAUAGUUUGAGCCUAGGCAUUAAAUAUUAAAUAAUUUAGAAUUAAUGCGUAUAAAGUGAGAUUUUCUCUUGAAAAAUUCACCAUCUGUGGUUAGUGGUUGGCCCAUUAGUCCAACUUUGAGGGAAAUAUUCUUGAUGAUCUUGAUUUUGUACAUUGUAUAGGGUUAAAUUUGGCUCGUAACGCCCCCAUGCCAAGUGGGUGCAUCCCCUAUAAUAAGGUCACGACCCAAGUUGGUGAAGAAGAAGUGACGUCGUUUAGUAUCUGACCUUUCUACUAAGUGGAAGCCACCAACUUUUGUACUUUUUGAUUAUUUCAAGGAAGGUCUCCUACUAUAUAAAGGAGACCUUCACAUUGUAAUAGGCAUCAUUGUUAUUCUCGUAUAAUACAACUUCUCUCUAUCUCUAUCUCUUUCUUGGUUUUCCAACCAUUGCUUCUUUCUUAAGCUAAGUCCAUUUUCUACAAACUUUCGGAUCUACUAACAAUUUGAAGGGAUAAUCAUCUCUUGGGCUAAUUAUAUUUGAUUACGAUUUACACUCAUAUAUUUUCAAUUGUUUUAAGCUUAUAAAGCACGAGUAUAAUUUUUGAGCUAAAUAAUUUGGCGCCAUCUGUGGGGAUUUAGAGAAUCAAAAUCAUAGUUUUGCACCUAGAGAACCAUCGAAAACCCGUCUCAACAACACAAAAACAAAAAAUGGCUGACAACAACUCAAGAAUGAAAACAAUAGUCGAUGUUGAAACCAAUCUCAUCGGUCCUAUCAAUGAAGCCGGUGAAUAUGGGGUUUUGAUUGCAACCCCUAGCACCACCACAAGUGGAGAAAUCCCACCUCCACCACCCGAAGACCUAAAUCUUGCGGGAGAAAGGCGCUUCUACAUCCACGUCUGAAGAAGCACCCCCAGAGGUUAGGAAACUACUGGAAGAGUGGUUAACGAGCACUCUAAGCGGCUUGGUUGAGAAGUUAACCCAAAACAAUAUCAGAUGCAGGCCGACCGCAGAUCUUGCUACAGUCGAAGGUGAACCCGAAAUCGCAGGAACAAACAAUGCGCUCCUAGAUACUUGGGCCAAUGGUGGCACGCUCACAGCCAUCCUAAAAAAGAUGGAGGAAAUGGAAAAUGAAAACAGGUCACUCCGUGACCAAAUGAAGGAACAUCACGAGAGGGUGGACAAGAUCCCUGGUGCCCCCAAACUGCUGCCAAAGCGUGAUGUGGGAAGGUUCGUUGAACAACCCUACACGGAAGAGGCUACACUGUACUCCAUUCCAAAAACUUUCAAAAUGCCGCCUUAUUUGAGAGUGUACAACGGAACUACAGACCCCGAGGACCACUUGAUCCACUACGUCAUUGUCGUAAAAGGUAUCAACCUGUCCAAAGAACAGGUACAGUCUGUGCUGCUGAAGAAGUUAGGUGAAAUACUAACAGGAGGAGCACUGACCUGGUAUUCCCAGCUACCGGCCAAAAUCAUUUCCACGUUUAAAGAAAUGGCGAAAAGUUUGUCACCGCCCAUGCAGGAGCAAAAAAAGCAUAAGCGAGGGUUAGCGACAUCUUCGUCGUUCGGCAAACCGUAGUGGAAGGACUCAGGGACUUCCUAGCCAGGUUUAACAGAGUAAGGAUGAGCCUAGCAAAUGUGUCAGAAGGAAUCGCGGUCACCGCUUUGCAAAACGGGUUAAGCAUGGACGACUCAAGGUCAAAUAAAAAACUACUAAGUCGCCUCAUAAAGUACCUGCCCACUUACGUGGAAAGAGAUUCACAAUGCCUGUUGCAGUGAAGUACGUGCAGAUGAGGACGAUCUCAACGAGCCGACCCAACGUUUAACGAUAAUACAUCCAAAAAUUAGGAGGGACCGAUGCAAUGAAGGAUGACGAGAACAAAUCACACGUCCCAAUAGGGAGAUACACCAACCCUACAUCAGAUCCUCUCACCCACCGUCACCCAGGCACGCGGAUGCACUACAGCGAUAUGUCGCCCCACUACGAAACGACAGAGGUUUGUCCCCUUUAUUAUCUGCCCAUAAUUUUUGUGUGUCCCCUUCAGAGAUAGUGUACGCACUUGAGAGUUCCUCUCACCCACCGCCACCCAGGCAUGCAGACACACUACAGCGACAUGUCGCUCCACUAAGAAACGACAGAGGUAUGCCCCCUUUAUUAUCUGCCCAUAAUUUAUGUGUGUCCCCUUCAGAGAUAGGGUACGCACUUGAGAAGCUGAGUAACAAGGUGCAAUGACCGGCAAAGAUAAAGUCGAACCCCGUCAAUAGAAAAUUAAACGCCUUGUGCGAGUUCCAUUAGGAGCGAGGACACAAAACUGAAGAUUGUAUAGGUCUACGGAAAGAGGUGGUCAGGAUGUUGAACCAAGAGUUCCUUGGAGAGUUUCUCACUGACAAAGGCAAAAUCAACUUCGUACAUAGACGGGAGCAGCACCACAGGCCACCAAAGCCGUCUUCGCCAACACACACGAUCAACAUGAUGAUUGUAAAUGGCGACAACUCGGUGACCAACCACAUCAAGUUCACCACGAUGCACAAGCUGAAGCAAACUACCCCCACAGACGAUAUGACGACUUCGAAGAUAGUAUCACCUUCGUUAAGUCCGAUGCCAACGAUUUGUCUUUCCCUCAUUACGAUGCUUUAGUUAUCACUUUACGUAUCGCAUAUAUGGAUGUUAAAAGCAUUAUGGUCGAUGAUGGUAGUGACGCCUGUAUUAUCCACCCGAGGGUCCUCGUACUAAUGGGACUCGAGGAUAAGAUAAUAUCACGCUGCAUAACACUAACUAGUUUCAAUAAUGCAGUAGAAUAAACCUCCGGGGAGAUAUCACUACCCGUCCUAGCAGGAGGGGUCACGCUGGAAACAACUUUCCGUAUUAUCCACCCGAGGGUCCUCGUACAAAUGGGACUCAAGGAUGAGAUAAUACCAAGCUGUAUAGCACUAACUGGUUUCAAUACUACAGUGGAAUAGACCUCCGGAGAAAUAUCCUUGCCCAUCUUAGCGGAGAGUCAUGCUGGAAAGAACUUUCCACGUGAUGAACCAUGAAACGACAUACAACGCCAUCAUAGGACGACCGUGGAUACAAUCCAUGAGAGCGGUUCCGUCGAGCAUUUACUAAAUGAUAAAAUUUCCCUCCCCGUGGGGAGUAUUCAGCAUUCGAGGCAAGCCUCGCACUGCUCAGGAAUGCUAUAAAAUAGCUCAGGACUGCGCCCACACCAAACAACUUAAAGGGGCGAGCGCAGACGCAUAACAAUCAGCUAUGUCGGGGACUAAGGUCCACCAUAUAGAGAACGCCAUUAAAGACCCCGAUGUUAUUGAAGCCUAUAAGUCCACGGUCGAAGAUCUCGACCCAGUCCAACUAGACAACAACGACCCUACAAAGAAAGCUUACAUCAGGCGCGGCCUCUCAAAUCCAAGUAAGUAUCGUGAAUUUUUAUCUAACUAUGCAGACCUGUUUGCUUUUUCCCAUUCAGAUAUGUCAGAGAUCCCGCGAGAAAUCGCCACUCACAACCUGAACAUCGACCCGCUACACCCGCCCGUGCGGCAAAUGAGAAGAAAAUUCAAUGCGACAAUCAACAAAGCGGUCAGCGAGGAAGUGGACAAACUUCUGGCCAACGGCUCUAUCAGGGAAUUAAUGUACCCACAAUAGGUUGCUAAUGUCAUCAUGGUUAAGAAGAAGAAUGGGAAGUGGAGAAUGUGUGUAGACUUCACCUACUUGAACAAGGCAUUCCCAAAAGAUUCCUUCCCACUGCCCCACAUCGACCUGCUAAUAGACGCGACUACAGGGCAUGAGCUGCUAAGUUUCCUACAUGCAUACUCCAGCUAUAACCAAAUCAUGAUUGCCGAAGAGGACCAGGAUAAAACAACUUUCAUCACCCACCAAGGGACGUACUGCUACAAGGUAAUGCCCUUCGGGCUCAAGAAUGCAGGAGCCAUGUACCAAAUGUUGGUCACCAGAAUAUUCAAAGAACAACUCCGCAAGACCGUAGGAGUCUACAUUGACGAUAUGCUGGUAAAGUCAUCAAAGAAAGAGGACCUUAUCGACCACCUAAAAUAGGCCUUCGAGAUAUUGACAAGGCAUCGAGGUUAAUCCAGACCAGAUCAAGGCGAUAGACGCAAUACCUGAGGUGAUGAGUAGCAAUAAAUAGGUACAGAAGCUGACGGGGCGUACAACCGCCCUGUUCGGAUUCAUCUUGCGGUCAUCCGAUAGGUGCCAUUAAUUCUUCAACGUACUAAAAAAGAUCAAGGACUACAAUGGAACGAGGAAUGCAUCGAAGCCUUGAGAAAGCUGAAAGAAUACUUGUCUUUGCCGUCCUUGCUUGUCAAACCGAGGCCCGAUGAACCCGUGCUGGUGUAUCUGGCCGUAUCCGAGGUCGCUGUUAGCGUCGUCCUAGUUUGCAACAACAAAGGUACACAAUCCUCUGUCUAUUACAUUAGCAAAACCUUAGUGGACGCUGAAACUCAUUACCCACACCUCGAGAGAUUGGCAUUGGCACUGGUCGUAGCUUCACAAAAGCUAUGGCCAUAUUUUCAGUGCCACCCCAUAAAAGUGGUAACGACCUUCCCAUUAAGAAGCAUCUUACACAAGCCUGAAUUAUCGGGCUGGCUCGUAAGAUGGGCCAUUGAGCUCAGCGAGCUCGACAUCUCGUAUCUUCCAAGAAUCACCAUUAAGUCACAAGUUCUGGCCAAUUAUAUAGCUGAAUUUAGCGUAGAAAUCUUGUCAAAGGCAGAACUUGAGGCACAACAUGCCUCUACCAAUAACGACCUAUGGGUCCUCUACACUGGUGCCACUGCCAUUGCAUCAAGAUCGGGACUGGGACUCGUCCUCGAGGUACCUAAGGGCAAAACAAUUCGCCAGUCCAUACGAUGCCCUGAAAUGACUAACAACGAGGCCGAAUAUAAGGCCGUUAUUGCAGGCAUGAAACUGGCCAUCAUGGUCCGGCUUGCAAGAUGGGCCAUUGAGCUCAGCGAGCACGACAUAUCGUAUCUUCCAAGAACCACCAUUAAGUCACAAGUUCAGGACGAUUUUAUAGCUGACUUUAGCGCAGAAAUACUGCCAAAAGCAAAACUUGAGGCACAACAUGCCUCCAAUAAUGACGACCUAUGGGUCCUCUACACUUAUAGCAUCGCCAAUGCAUCGGGAUCGGGACUGGGACUCGUCCUCGAAGUCCCUACAGGCGAAACAAUUCGCUAGUCCAUACGAUACCCUGAAAUGACUAACAACGAGGCUGAGUUUGAGGCCGUUAUUGCAGGCAUGAAACUGGCCAUCAAAUAUGGGGCCCGCGGACUCAUCCUCCACUACAAUUCCCAACUCGUAGUAAACCAAGUCACUUGGACUUACCAGAUCAAAGAACUAAGACUGCAAAAAUACCAGCCAGAAUAUGCAGGUUAAUAGCUGAGUUCGACGAAUGCCACCUGGAACAGAUCCCAAGGGCAUAAAAUAUUGAGGCAGACGGUUUAGCAAAAGUGGCUACGGCGACUAAGAACUUCAACAAAGAAAGUGUAGUCACCCUCCUCCACUCCACCAUUGAUCACACCGAGGUAUUCUCUUUAAAUUUGACUUGGGACCGGCGCAACCAGUUUGUAUCUUAUCUACAGGACGGAAUAACGCCACCCGAUAAAAAAGAGGCGAAGAAACUUCGCAGGCAAGCCGCUCGGUAUUGCUUAAUAAACAACGACCUCGACAAAAGAAUGUUUGGGAGACCCUUGGCUAAGUGCCUAGGGCCGCACCAAAUAAGGUUUGUACUCAAAGAAUUACACAAGGGUCACUAUGGUGCCCAUACAGGUAAUCAUGCCCUCGUACGAUGCAUCAUACGUGCCUGCUACUACUAGCCCACCAUGAAGAAGGAGGCAACAGAGUACGUUCGCCGAUGCGAACAAUGCCAAAAAUAUGACCCCAUGAUACACCAACCAGGAGAGCCCCUCCAUUUAGUCACCUCCCCAUGGCCUUUCAUCAAAUAGGAAAUGGACAGUCGGCCCCUUGCCCGCUUGACAGGGAAAAGUACGAUUUUUAUUAGUUUUAACUGACUAUUUCUCUAAGUGGGUAGAAGCAGGUGUGUACACACAAAUACGAGAACAAGAGGUGAUCGCCUUCAUAUCGGAAAAUAUAAUAUGCCGCUUCAGCAACCUCAAAGAAAUCAGUUGUGACAACGGACGAUAGUUCAUCGGCCAAAAAUGACUGAAUUCUUUGAGAAAUGGUGCAUCAAGAGGAUACUUUCGAUGCCAUAUCUCCCUGCCGCCAACGGCCUAGCAGAAUCCUCCAAAAAAAAUAUUACACAUACAGAAGAAGAAACUCGAGGAUGCCAAAGGGCUAUGGCCCCACUUGCUACCCGAAGUGUUGUGGGCAUACAAGACCACAUCCAAAUCCAGCACGGGGGAAACACCGUACUUGCUGGUCUACGAAGCCGAUGCGGUCAUACAGGUCCGCGAACCAAGCCUAAGAUAUUCGCACAUCAAUGGAAUGGAAAACAACACAAACAGGCUUCAAGACCUCGAUGAUGCUGGGGAAAGGAGAGAAAUGGCCCAUAUCAGAAUGGUGGCCCAAAUACAACAAGUCAAAAGAUACUACAACAAGAGGGCCAAAAUAAGACCACUCAAGGUAGGAGAUUACGUCCUCGAAACCAAGACAUUGGCAUCCAAAGCCCAAGCGAAGAGAAACUGGGCACCAACUAGGAAGGACCCUACAAAAUCACAGCAGUAGCCGGCAAAGGCGCAUUCCAGCUGGAAACGAUGGGAGGGAAAACACUCCAAAACAAAUGGAACGUUUCUCACCACAAGUAUUUCCAUUUCUAAGAGGUGUCUCCCGAGUCGUACACUUUUUCACUUACUCGAGUUUUAUCCCAAUUGGGUUUUUUCGGGGAGGUCUUUAACACGAUGGCGGAGGGGACACCUAGAGAUAUUUGCGGAACAAAUUUAUCAUAUCAACCUCUCCUUAUGACCUCCAGGCCGACAUGACAAAUGGACUGGACUAGCUUGAUAUCCAAUGUAUGAAUGCUACGUCCGUCUCCAAUGUAUGAAAGGCUACGACCAUCUCCAAUGUAUUAAAGGCUACGGCCAUCUCCAAUGAAUGAUAGGAUACAUCCAUCUCCAAAUGUAUGAAAGACUAAGGCCAUCAAUUCUACACAGCUAAUGUCGUCAAGUAAAUUAUGGCUAAGUCCAUCACCGCCAACGGUCGACCUACAUUCGACUACGGUGAGUAAACGACUCAACGACAGUAAAAAGCUUAAUCAAGCAUGUCCGUCCAUUGAAGACGAACAUCGAGUACGUCUCUAACGAACAGAAGGACUAACUGUAUAAGCUUAAAUUUGGCUUAUAACGCCCCCAUGCCAAGUGGGCACAUCCCCUAAAAUAAGGGCGACCCAAGUGAGGGUACGUGCCAAGUUGGUGAAGAAGAAGUGAUGUCGUUUAGUGCCUGGCCUUUUUACUAAGUGGAAGCCACCAACUUUUGUACUUUUUAAUUAUUUCGAGGAAGGUCUUCUACUAUAUAAAGGAGACCUUCAUAUUAUAAUAGGCAUCAUUGUUAUUCUCGGAUAAUAAAACUUCUCUCUCUUGGUUUUCCAACCAUUGCUUCUUUCUUAAGCUCAGUCCAUUUUUCUACACACUUUCGGAUGUACUAACAUUUUAAAGUGAUAAUCGUCUCUUGGGCUUAUUAUAUUUGAUUACGAUUUACCCUCAUAUAUUUUUGAUAGUUUUUGAGCUUAUAAAGUACGAGUAUAAUUUUUGAGAUGAACAUACAUGGAGGAACUGGGACAUUGAUGGUGACUUCUUGAAGGGAAAUAAUUCUCCAUGUCGAGGCCAUUCGACUUGUUUUGCUUUAGCUUCUUGUUUUCUUCUUCGUUGGGUGCUGAAGAAGAAUUUUCUUUUUUGUUAUUUAUAGGCUUCAUGGAUUGUUCUGCCGUAUAGUCCAAAAGAACUGCCAUUCUUGAAAAAUAUCAAACAUUUCUUUUAAGAAUAUGAGAGGAGAAGUGAUCAUGUCCAACUAUGCCUCCUAAGAGGUUUGGUGGUCGUUACAAAUAUAAUCUGGUUUACAAGUUCGGAGUCGAAUCCCACAGGGAAUUAAUCUACUAGUAUUAACCACUAGUUUUGCAAUAAUUCAAGUAUUCAACCUUCAAAAAUGAUAUAUAAUGUUUUGGGUGUUUGCUAACUAAAGGCAAGGUAAUUAAAAAGCUGUAAUUUUAACACUACCACGGCAAAUGUUGUAGACAAGAUUAGAAGGGUCAAGGGUUUUAAUUUCCCCUCUCGUCGAAAUCCUCCCUGCCACGUCUCAUAUAAAUUCGACUAGAUAUUCUCUACUGAUCAUGAACACUUUAGGUGUCGUAAUUCUCUUUCGAGCAAAUACAAUAAUUUACUAGACGUAUUCUUGCGAACUACGCUAGAUGUCACUAGUUUACCACUGACAAAGAUCGUACCAAGGUUUCGUUAUUCCUAAUCUCACCACUAAACCCUCUAUAUUGAUUCCUCAUAUACGUUAUAAGUGAUGUUGGUCAACAAAUACAUAAAUAUGUACCCUUUUCCAAGCUACACACUAAUUAGGCACAAUUAAUUGAAGGCCUUUCAAUCAAUAACAGUGAAAAUAUAGUUGAACAAGUAGAGAAAAAUCAAAACAAAUUAAGACCUUGCAUACGCAUUCAUACCUUUCCCAACUUUCACAUGCAGGAAUAUUAAUGACCAAUUAAAAAUACUCAAACAAUCUGCACAUAACCAUCCAACCUCAAAGACCAAUGCAUCGCCAAUAAGCACUCUCAACUCGUGCACUCACCCAACCAAGAUGUUUAAUAACGUCACCUAUCCGUCAUGGAAUCAUGUGCCUCACCAAAAAAUAAGAGAAUAUUGCGUCCACACAUUCAAAUAUGCAUUCAAAUAUAAUUAAGGACAUCACAUAUAUGAAUAAAGAACCACUCACUCUAACAAAGAAAUUCAUGUGCAUUCCAUAGUUGUACCAUAGGUUUGACUGUAUUGUAUAUCCUCACUAAAUCUAAGCUAGUAAAUUCUAAGAUCAAUUAGGCCUUUAUGGGUUGUAAUGUAGGCUAAGGGACAUAUAUGAUAUAUUUAGGGUAUAGUGACUAAUCCUCCGAAGCACUUUAAUACACUACACUUACUUCCAAAUACACACUUUUCAUGACCAAAUCAAGCAAUGUCACGAAACCAUAUACAACUUGGCCUUCUUCUUAAUCAUAACUAUGCAUUCAUUAUCCCGGAUCACGAUGAAUAGGAGGUGUGUUUUCUAUAUAUAUAUUUUUCUCUUUUUUUUCCAACACUUCCAUAAAAUUAGGUUGCCCCGCUAAUAAUCUUCCAAAUCAUACAUGCACCCUUUGGUCUUUCCAUGGAUCCACUCAAUAGCUAUCCAACUCUCACCUUACUCUUCUAGCGGCUUAAGUGCUUCCGAAUGUAAAGGUUCGAAAAGAUUUCAUUUAAGAACAAAAUGGGAAUCGACUUUUAAUGUGGGUACCAAAGAAAAAGCUUAUUGGCUCAAACAAGCUAUCUAAGGAUAAUUUUAUUUAUGGUGGCAUAAUAGCUCAAUGGACAAUCAAAGAAAUGCCUACCUUAUCUCCUAGACUCAAAAUCUUACUUAUUUCGUUUCGACUAACACACAUGAAAAGUUAUAGACAAGCACAAGAUAGCACAGAGUGUGAUCAAAAUAUUACAUCACACGACACACAUGACUCCAGUCGGGACGGUUGCAUUCCAACUCUCAAAUUUAAGGAAGUAAUUACAAAUUUCAAAAAGUAUUAAGCAAUAAAACACUACAUAAUAAUGAGUCAACUAACUGAGUGCAAGUUACAGACCGGCUAUUCAUCUUUCAUGUCAUCAAUUUCCAUCAAAGCAUGUUAUGAAGAAAAUUUGCAUGCUAAGGCCUAAUUAUGCUGGCAUCAAACAAGUCAAAGGCACAUAAGAGCACUCAAGUUUUCUUCCCUCAAUUUUCUAAAAAAUAAAAAACUACCCGAUUCAAGUUACAUCCCUUGAAAAAGAAUCGAUGCCAAAAAAAUCAAGGGGGAUUAUUACCACGACUAACUAAAAAAAGUAUUUUUUUGAAUUAUUUUUUUAUUGUACUUUAAUCCCUCAAGAAACUGUACAAGAGAUCAAUCGUCCGAAAUAGUCUUAUUUUUUUAUUUUUUUAAAAUAACAUAUUAUAAUAUCAUAGAAAAUUACUCCGACAAUCUCCUUACCCCACUCUUAAAAUUGUGCAUUAUCCACAAUGCACACUAUAAAUAACAAGAGGGUGAAGGAAACGCCCUGGUAGGUCAAAGGCCGAAGCAUCAGCAACUCAUGGGAUAUUCAGACUUCUCAUGCGGGUGUCGACACUCCAUUUUUCUAAGAGUCAAAAUCAGGUAUACGAAAUUUGGGAGGACAACUCUAUUCCUUUUCGAGAAUUGGAUUUUGGAGUUGAAGAGUUGCCACCUAAGAUUAUAGUGCAGUAGGACACUUUUAAGAAGGGUUUGAGAUGAAGAAACCAGAGAUUAGGGUAAAUGCUAGAAAUUAUAUCGAAGGAGAGGUAUUAGGCACCCCUCAAGAUCCUCUAGUCUGGUCACAACCAUGUUAUAAUUGUGACUUAACAAGUAACAAUCAAGGAUCAAAGAAAUACAUUGCAAUUAAAUUUAAACGUAUGAAAGUAAGUAGAAAGAAAAAACUUUAAACAAUUCUAAAGAUAACAAACAAAUGCGAACAAAGGAAAGGGGUCCUAGGUUUAUGACUAGUAUAGAAUACUUCAAUGCAAUACCCGGCAAUCACUCCUCAAAGAGGGGUUGCACGUUAUAUUAGCACAUCGGUCAUCAUCUACAUAUUCUACCCUUCCCACCCCGUAAAGGUUAUUUAUACGCGUGGAUCGGUCACGAAUGCAUAUUGCGUGCUAUACCCGUCCCAUCUUAUAAGUCCUAGAGGGUAUUAGGACCACUCUUCUUAAAAGGUGAGGACUAGGCUGGACCCUUAGUUAAAGUACAAAAUACUAGGCGUCAUUCAUAACAGGUAGGACUACACAUAAAGGGAAUAAUGCAAAGAAGUAAAUAAGAGGCUCAGCAAUCCCUCUACAAAAAACAUGUAAUUAGUACAUCUCAAACACAAUUAAGGUAUAAAAAGGAGUUUAAAACAGGGAGGUCGGAAGAGAUAAGUUGCAGAAGAAUCAUAAGAUUUAAAACUAAGUGCCUUGAAGAAUGUCUGAUUUUCAGAAAUGUGAAUAAAAGAUGGUAGUAAGUUGCAGCAGUUCAGGAAUUAGUAAAAAAAAGUAUAGAUAAACUUGUUUAAAACAUUCUUCGAAAAUACAGUAGCAGUGUUUGUAGUAACUUGCCAAUAGCACAAUUCUGGACAAGUAACAACUCUGUAAAAAAAUAAGCAUGAUAAAGCAGAGGCACGGUUACGGGAUAAAAAUGAGACUGUAGUUUUAACAGAAUAAAUUUUAUUGAAGCAAACAAAGGACGAAGUUCAUAAGUUAAAAGAGGCUGAGUAGUCUGAAGCAUGAUUAAUCGAUUUAUAUUAGGCCUAAAGUUUGCCUAUGUGUCUUAUUCAUUGCCUAAUUACCUUAAACGGUGAACAUGCAUAUUAAUCCAGUUCUAAAAAAUAAGGUUUAUCCCAAAGUUGUGUUAUUAAAUAAACAACUGGUGAGGCGUUCAGUAAUUACAACUCAGAUGAAACAAAAGUCCUAAGUAACAUGAUAUCUGAUGCACACAAGCUCCUAAACAUGGUCUCUAAAUGCAGUGGCAAUUUUUUUAAACAGUUGUUUGUUAAUUACUAAUUGAUUACAAAGUGAGUAUAAUAAUAUGAAAGUAAAGAGCCUAAACAAGAUAUCUAUAUGCAAGAUGCAUGUCGUACACAUGGUUUCUAUUGCACAAAUAAGUAAGUAAAGCUUUAUAGACAUGUUAUCUACCCAUUAAUAAAAACAAACAUGCAUAAUCCCCACCCAUUUCACUAUAGACCCCAUCCGUUGUUUACAAGUUAUUACAAACCAUGAUAGCUGAAUCACAUAAUAAAAAAUAAAAAUAAGAAGUUACUCUAUAGGAAGCCUUCAACCAGGCCAAUUCUUCCAACCUCACUUCUUUCGAGUUUCACAGCCCUUUGCCAUGGUUUGGGUGAGGCAAAGCUCCCUAAGGGCCCAUUAGAGUCCUUGGCCAAUACCAACACCCAAACAAUAUUAAAAUUGAACAAGUGCAGUGUAAUAUUACCAGCAUUGUGCAUCAAAGUUCCAUGGGUACUCAAAAGGUACCCAAGUAAAUGCUUGCCAAAGGGGGUAGGACCUAAACUCUAGGAGUAGUAUGAGUGUGGCAGAGUUUCUAAAGAAAAUAAGUUUAAAAAUAGUUUAGGAUAAUGAUCCAUACAGAAGCAGUUUUGAAAUAAAACAAUGUGAUGAUUCUGACAAUAUCAGAUAUAUUUCAGGGAAGUAAACACAAAUAGAGAAAAGGGGGAUGGGGACAAGUAGUUCACAGACAGUAUUUCAGAACUUAGACAGCCACACCAGGUUUCAAACAAAAGGGUCAACACUACAUGCUGAUAAUAUACUAGGGCUAAGGGGCAGGGGAGCAAAUCAAUAAGCAUGCUAGAUUAAGAGAAGGAUGAACUAAACAUAGGAACAUACUAGUAGCAAUAAGAACAUAAGUAAAAGCAUAUAAUAAACAGAAUAAAGUGCAGUAUGUAUAAAAACAUGUUGUUUUGAGAGCUGUAAAUCAAAUAGAGGGCAUACCAGUUGAGGAUGAGAUAAUAUAGAGCAGUAGUAUACAUAGAAAUGAGUAUUAGUAUGCAAAGAAGUGAGUAGCAGUAUGCAGACCAAAGGAGGUAGCAAUAUGAAGAACAGUAGAACAGUAAAGCACCCUAAAUCACUCAGUCUUGGCUUUUAGCUGACUGAGUAAUCAGUAGUCACAAGGAAAGUGAGAGAGGUUAUGUAAAAAUAAGAGAGAACAAUGAGUAUGUUUUGUGUGUAAGAGAGAGUUCAGAACAAUGAAUUUUGUUCGUGUCUGGAAGUGAGAAUAGUGGAGAGUAUAUAUAGUAGUUGAGAGCAGAGUAAAAUAAGGUAAAGAAAAUCAGUUUUCAUCAAUCAAGGAAGCCACAUAAUCAGUCAGGCAAAAAAUCAACAAGUCUUCCCUUAAUUAAGGGGUAAUAAGCCAACGGUAAAGAGCAAAACAUAUUUAAGGAAAGAAAAUCAAGUAAGACUUAGGCACAUGGUAGACAAUUAAGGGUAAAUACACUAGGGUUAUAUUAGGGAAACAAUUAGUGAAGAAUCAAUAAGUAACACGGAUAAUAAAAAUAAGGUAAGAAAACUAAAUAAGGUUGCAAAUAUAUAGAAAUAAUUGAGAAUCAGCACAUAGGUAUUACCAUAACAACUUGGUGAAUCGAAGAUUCGAAAUAACACUAAUUUAACGUAAAUAUCAUAGAUUUCCAUGAAUAAGAAAAUAAGUCAAGUAUAAACGGAAAGAAUCGAGUCUGAAAUCUUAACAGAGGCAUACUAUGGCAAAAUCAUAAGGCAUUCUAAUUAAACGAAGAAGUAAUCAUGUAAAUCAAAGCACAUAACAUAGGCAUGAAUCAAACAAAACGGAAGAGUGCAGAAUCCAAACAAAGUUUCAAACAUUGGGGUUUUUAGCAUAUGCUGGUUAGGGUUAAGGAAGAACUCAACAAAAUUAGUAAAAACUCAUAGACACAUGGUGUUAAACACUUAAAACCAGAAAGCAUUUUGAAGAAAAGGAUUUUUAGAAACCCUAGUUUUGAAAAGAAGAACGAAAUGUUGAAAAAGUUGAGUAAUCGAAGAAAUCGAGUAGAGAGUAGUGUAAAACACAAAGAAUAAGUUAAAAAUCAUUUCUAAAGGACAGAGAUUAAGAGACUAGGCAGAAAUUAGUGUUUCGUAAUAAAUUAGUGAGAGAUAAGGAACUUGGCUGUGAAUCUCGCUAAUAAUGAUGUUCGUAGUACCAUCGAACCAUAAACCACCGGAGAAAGUCCAGAGACAAACCAGGCAAGGCCUCCGGUAACCAUUUUGUAUGGUAGAGGCUUCUGGAGUCUUGAAACUAGAGGGAAUCAACAAGGUACAGUUCCAUGGCAGCUGGUGGUCGAGAGAAGUGAGGACGGAGAUCGCCGGAGGGGCGGUGUCUUCAUCGGAGAUGAAAGAGAGAACCAGAAGGUUCUAGAGAGAAGGGAGAGCAAACGUUAGUAUAAAGAGAGAGAGAGAGUCCGAAGUGAGGGGUUUGGGGGGCUCAUUUAGGUAUUAAUUUAGGAAAAUAUAUAUGGGUCGUUGAUCUUAUUCAAUCAAUGGCUUAGAUCAAAUCAAGGUUGGACCGGGUAUUUGAAUUGGGCGUGGGUCGGGUAAUUUUGGAUAUGGGUUGGGGAAUUUGGGGUUGAAAUUAGGGUUCAAUUUGGGCUAUGAUCAUAAUAAAAUUUAGCUAGCAUUUAAAUAGUUGAUUUUCCCCUUUUUUUAUUUUAUACAAAUAGUGAAAAAGAUUUCAAAAAUAAAUUAAAAAUACUGAACUAACUAAUAAUUUAUAAAUAUUAAUCUAAAAAUAUUGGAAAUUAUUUUAUAAUUAUAAAAUAUAAUUAAUUGUAAAAUAGGCUAUAAUUGCAAUUAUAUACAAUUUAGUUUUAAAAAUACCAAAUAAAUCUGUAAAAUAUGCAAAAAAAUACCUUAAUUGUAUUUUGGUAUAAAUAUGAGAAUAAAAUAAAUUAUUCACAAAAUGAUUAUUUUUAGGAAUAAUUAUUGAAUUAUAUAUAUAUAUAUAUAUAUAUAUAUAUAUAAUUUAAAUUGAAGCUUUUUAAUUAAAAUGAACCGAAAAUAAUAACUAUANNNNNNNNNNNNNNNNNNNNNNNNNNNNNNNNNNNNNNNNNNNNNNNNNNNNNNNNNNNNNNNNNNNNNNNNNNNNNNNNNNNNNNNNNNNNNNNNNNNNNNNNNNNNNNNNNNNNNNNNNNNNNNNNNNNNNNNNNNNNNNNNNNNNNNNNNNNNNNNNNNNNNNNNNNNNNNNNNNNNNNNNNNNNNNNNNNNNNNNNNNNNNNNNNNNNNNNNNNNNNNNNNNNNNNNNNNNNNNNNNNNNNNNNNNNNNNNNNNNNNNNNNNNNNNNNNNNNNNNNNNNNNNNNNNNNNNNNNNNNNNNNNNNNNNNNNNNNNNNNNNNNNNNNNNNNNNNNNNNNNNNNNNNNNNNNNNNNNNNNNNNNNNNNNNNNNNNNNNNNNNNNNNNNNNNNNNNNNNNNNNNNNNNNNNNNNNNNNNNNNNNNNNNNNNNNNNNNNNNNNNNNNNNNNNNNNNNNNNNNNNNNNNNNNNNNNNNNNNNNNNNNNNNNNNNNNNNNNNNNNNNNNNNNNNNNNNNNNNNNNNUAUAUAUGUUACUUUAAAAAUAUUUGAGUAUAAAAAUAUCCAUGAAAAAAUUGGAUAUCAAAAGUUGCCCAUCUUUACCCUGGAAGGAUGAAAGAAUUAUCAUGUAAAGAUAGGAUGGCCAAUUUUGACCAAAAGAGGUGAUUUGCCUUGAAUUUCGACCGAGAUCUGGCUUUUGAGCUGCCUACAUAUCCUUGAUUUUACAAGAAUCAGGCCAUAUGUAGUUCAGGAUCCAUCGACAGAAUAUGCCAAUAGAGUUUCGAUAAGGACAAACAUGAUGUUUAGGUUGUAGUUGAAAUCUGAUAGGAUGCGGGAAGUGGAGCGGGAUCGCUCAUGCUGAGACAGUCGUUGCUAGCUGGCGUACCUACAAGUGAGAAAUACAACAUAUAUUGUGCAUAAAUUUAAACGUGAUGCAAGUUUCCUUUGGGCCAUGAAUGUUGUGUUUGGACAGUUAGGGUGAUGUCCUCGGGCCAUGACGUCCUGAGAAAUGAAGCGUAUGAUAAAGGAUUCACAGGCUAUGAAAUGAUGUGUUUGGGCUAUGAGGAUGAUGCCUCCGAACCAUGAUGCCUUUGAAUAAUGAUAUGCAAAAGAUAAAACGAGGUCCUCAGGCCAUGGCAUGGCGCUCUCGAGCUAUGGAAAUGGUGCCUCUGAACAAUGACACCUUUGGAAAAUUUGGCGAUAUUUUUGCCCAUGAAAUGCAAAAGGUGGCGAUCUUUCAGCCAAUGCAGGAAGUGGCGAUAUUUCAACCGAUGCAAGAAGCGGCAAUAUUUUAGCCGGGUAGAAUUUAAAUGAAGGUGGAAAUCUUUUAGUCAUGCAGAUGACAGUGCUUAGUCUCAGAAGGCAGGAAGCUAGCCUUAUGCAAAAUGCAAAGAAAUGCAGGAUGGAGUUAUAGCUUAACCUCGGAAGGCAGAAAAGUAGCCUUAUGCAAAAUGCCGAUAACGCGGAUGGAGACAAUGCUUAGUCUCGGAAGGCGGGAUGGUAGCCUUAUGCAAUGUAGAGAUAUGGAGACAAAUCUUAGUCUCAGAAGGCAAAAAAUAGCCAUAUGCAAAUGUAGGUAGAGCUUAACCUUGGAAGGUAGGAAGGUAGCCUUAUGUAAAAUAAAGAUAAUGCAGAUGGAGACAGUGCUUAGUCUCGAAAGGCAGAAAGGUAGCCUUAUGCAAAUGCAGAUAAUGCAGAUGGAGGUAGAGCUUAACCUCAGAAGGAAAAAAAGUAGCCUUAUGCAAAAAUGUAGAUAAUGCAGAUGGAGACAGUGCUUAGUCUCGAAAGGCAGAAAUGUAGCCUUAUGCAAAAUGCAGAUAAUGCAGAUGGAGGUAGAGAUUAACCUCGGAAGGCUGAAAAGUAGCCUUAUGCAAAAAUGCAGAUAAUGCAGAUGGAGAUAAUGCUUAGUCUCGAAAGGUAAAAAGGUAGCCUUAUGCAAUGCAGGAAAUAAAAGGCGGAUAAUAAUGAAAUCUCUUAGCUGAUAGAUGAUAGCUGAUAGCUGAUUGCAUCAUUAUGGUUGUUGGGGAUGUUGUGCACAGAUACUAAUUUUGAGUAGGUUAUGAUUUUGAGAAGUUGCAUUCUUGAGAAAGUAUGAGUGCAGAAAUAUAUCUAAUGAUAUUGUGAAUUUUGUGCCUACAUCCAUAGAAAAAUCCUGAGCUUAGUAAAAAGGGGAAGGUUAGUUCGUCUUCGUGUGGACUUCGCUCGUCCUGCUUGACGUUGUACAUCAUUGGGGUAGCGUCGGUAAACACAACAAUAUAAUAGUCAUGCAUGAUUUAGUAAAAUAAUAUAAUAUAAAUACAUAAUUGAAAAUAAUAGUUCUCUUUUUUUUCUUUUUUUUAAAAGAUGAACCGACAAUUGCGACGUUGUUCAAGAAAUUACAACCUCUCUUGCUUCGGAAUUGUGAGGGUCUUCCUCAAAAUUCUGCCCCAGUUUACUGCGCUGGUGCUUCCGACGACUGCGUGCAAUGAAUGGCUGAAAUCAACUUCGAAAUUUUGAGGGUCCUCUUCAAACUUCUGCCAUAGUUUCCAAUAGCGAGGGGAGAAAUAAAAAAUUUAUUGAAUUAUGACCGAACCCAUAGGGCUUCCUACGUAUCGCCUCAUAAAUGAGAAUCAAGUCGGGUGUCAUUCAAAUUACCUCAUAAAGAAAUCAUAAAGGAUUACACAUAGUAUCGCUUUACUGCAUCUGAAUCGAUUGGUUUUGGCCAGACUUAUCCAUCUAUUUUCUGCAAGUAUGAGGGCCCCUCCUGUCAGAACCCGGUAAACCAUGUAUCGCCCUUGCUAAUUAGGAGAGAAUUUCCCUUCGGUGAAAAUCUUCUUCAUUCUCUUCCCAUCUAUAAGGGACAACUACUCGUAGUGACUCCUUAGUCAUUCUGCAUCAUCUAACUCCGCUUUUUGCACGUUCUCAAGGAGGGGAUUUCUACCUCGGCGAGAAUGACUGCCUCUGUACCAUAAACCAGCAUAUACGGAGUUACCCCGAUUGAUGUGUGGACUGUGGUGCGGUACCCCAAUAAGGCGAAUGAUAACUUCUCAUGUCAUUUCUUUUGCUUUUCUAUCAUUUCCUCGGUGUCUUCUUGAUAUUCUUGUUGGCCGUUUCUACAGCUCCAUUCAUCUGAGGCAUGUAGGCUGUAGAGUUCCUAUGUUUAAUCUUGAAUGCUUUACCCAAGCUUUUAUCAAGUCACUGUUGAUAUGGACCCAUUAUCGGUAAUGAUUGACUCAGGAUUCCAAACCGAUAAACAAUACGGUCGUGGACUAAAUCUACCACAACCUUCUUGGUUAUUGCUUUAUAUGAUGUUUCUUCGACCCAUUUGGUGAAAUAAUCAAUCGCCACUAGAAUCAACAUGUGACCAUUUGAUGAGGCAGGCUCAAUUGGUCCAAUAACAUCCAUUCCCCAAGCGUCGAAUGGCCAACAUGAGCUUGUUGCGGUAAACUCAUUUGGAGGUACCUUUAUCGUAUCUUCAUGUAUCUGACAUCAAUUACACUUUCGAACAUAGUGAAUGCAGUUCGUUUCCAUAGUUAUCCAAAAACAACCUACUCGGAGUAUCUUUUUUGCUAAGAAAAAACCAUUCAUAUGUGGACCGCAGGUCCCUGCAUACACUUCCUCUAACAACCUGGAUGCUUCGUUUGCUUCGACACACCUUAGUAGUCCUAAAUUGGGGGUCCUCCUGUACAUGAUCCCUCCACUAUGAAAGAAGUUGGUGGACAAUCGCCGAAGGGUGUAAUUCUGAGUAGCGUUGGCAUCAUGGAAACAUGGUUUUUCGUACGCUUCUUCCUCGACAUGAGCAUAAUAUGAUGGAUUUUCAUAAAUAUUUACCAGGAUGGGAUCAAUGAAAUUCUUAUCUGGAUGCUGGAUCAUGGAUGAUAGCAUAGCAAUGCAUCAGCGAACUCAUUCUGCACUCUGGGGACGUGCUGAAAUUCUAUCUUUGAUAAUCUCUUCCUCAACUCCUAUAUGUGAUGUAGGUAAGGAAGUAUCUUAGAGUUUUUGGUUGCCCAUUCUUCUUGGACCUGAUGUAUGAGCAAGUCUGAAUCCCCGAUCACUAGCAACUCCUGAAUGUUCAUGUGAAUAGCCAUCUUGAUCCCCAAGAUACAGGCUUCAUAUUUGGCCAUAUUGUUGGUGCAUGGGAACCUAAGUUUGGCACAUACCGGGUACUGCUGGCCGGUUUCUAUUUCUAGGACUGUUCCUAUGCCAACUCCUUUGAAAUUUGCGGCUCCAUCGAGAAACAAUGUCCAACAAUCAUAGGAUUCUGCAAUAUCCUCCUAUGGAAGAUACCUCUUCAUUGGGAAAAUACGUCUUUAGAAGCUCGUAUUCCCCAUUCGCGGGAUUCUCGGCGAAAUGAUCUGCCAAGGCGUGUCCCAUGAUUGCUUUCUGAGUUACGUAAACAAUGUCGAAUACACUUAGUAGGAUUUUCCACUUUGCUAGCUUGCCAGUGGGAAAGGGCUUCUGAAAGAUAUACUUCAGCGGAUCCAUUCUGGAUAUGAGAUAAGUAGUGUAGGCACAGAAAUAAUGCCUCGGCUUCUGAGCUACCCUAGUCAGAGCAUAAUAGGUGCGUUCUAAUAGAGAAUACUGGGCCUCGUACCGGGUGAACUUCUUGUUGAGAUAGUAGAUGGCUUGCUCCUUUCUCCCCGUUUAAUCGUGUUUUCCCAAAACACAACGGAAUGCUUCAUCUAAUACUGUAAAGUAAAGCAAUAGAGGUCUACCUAGUUUAGGCGGAACCAAAACUGGUGUCGUUGACAGGUAUUCCUUGAUUUUGUCAAAUGCUUUCUGGCAAUCAUCAGCCCAUUUGGUAUCAGCAUCCAUCUUCAACAUUUUAAAGAUGGGUUCACAAAUGAUAGUGGACUGAGCUAUGAACCGGCUGAUAUAGUUGAGUCUCCCUAUAAAACUGAUCGUCCUUCUUGUUCUUUGGCGGGUGGUAAUUCUUGAAUGUCUUUAACCUUUGAUGGAUCCAUUUCUAUCCCUCGGCGACUCAUGAUGAACCCCAGUAAUUUUCCGGCAGGAACCUCGAAUGCACACUUGGUGGGAUUCAAUUUCAAAUUGUACCUUCUCAAUCUAUUGAAUAAUUUCCUCAGAUCUUCCAUGUGGUCAGUGGCUUUCUUGGAUUUUAUGAUGAUAUCAUCUACAUAUACCUCAAUUUCCUUGUGUAUUAUGUCAUGGAAGAUAGUAGUCAUGGCCCUCAUGUAAGUGGCACCAACAUUCAUUAACCCCAAAUGGCAUCAUCUUAUAAAUAUACAUUCCCUACGGCAUGAUGAAAGUUGUUUUCUCUGCAUCUUCCUCAUCCAUCCAUAUCUGAUGAUACCCGGUAAAACAAUCAACAAAUUACUGCAGCUCAUGAUAAGGGGAAAGCAUCUUUGGAUCUGGCCCGGUUAAGAUCCCGGUAGUCGACACAGACCCUAACCUUCCCAUCUUUCUUCGGCACUGGUACAAUGUUGGCUAACCAUGUUGGAUACUCUACCACCCUGAGAACCUUGGCUUUGACUUGCAUGGUGACUUCUUCCUUGAUUUUCAAACUCAUGUCAGGCUUUAACUUUUUGAGUUUCUACUUUACCGGUGGACAUGUUGGAUCUAUUGGGAGUUUGUGAGCUACAAUGGAUGUACUGAGAUCAGUCAUAUCAUCAUACGACCAGGCAAAUAUGUCCUCAUGUUCCUUUAGAAACUAUGUGUACUCUUUCUUUUUUUACGGUGACAGGUGAACACUGAUGCGCGUUUCUUUGACAUUCUCUGCAUCCCCCAAGUUAACGACCUCUGUUUCGUCCAAAUUAUACUUAGGCCUAUUUUCAAAAUCCUCAAAUUCUUUACGACCUCUUCUGGUAUAUCAUCCUCUUCUGACUCUAUGUCCAUUUGUAGUGUUGUCUCAUUGCAAGUUACAAUCGUCGGUUCAUCAUCGAGAUAAGUAAUAGUAAUACUGUGUAAAUAAAGUAAAUGAUGGAGAAAAUAAAAAGAGCGAGAUAAAUAAUAAACUGAAAUGCUUUGAUUAAAUUUCAUAAUUGUGCUGAAAAUCGGAGCUCUUUUCAAAAUUAAAGACAAUACGGAAAGAAAAUCAGCUAAUAAAAAGUAAAAUGUGAUGCAUGGUGCUUUGUUUAGUCUUGCUACCCCGAAGCUUUUUGGGCCCAAGUGGUUCUGGUGGACCAAUUACUGAGGCGUUCUCCUUGGUUCACAGCUUGUAUAGAUGGUCCUUCCUCCCCUUUCUCCUCGAAAAUAACACAAUAGUCCAUAUCAUCGUCCUCCAGAAACAUAUUCUUCAUUGCUGCCAAUGCAUCUCUUCUGACCCAUAUAUAGUAUCUGUCGGUUGGAAAGUCUGCUCCAAACGAGGUAUAAGAUGCUCCAGUGGGUAGUAGGGACCGCGCCAAUUCAGGAUACUCUCGAUCUUGUUAUCCUACCAUUUAUCUUUGUCCACAACAUUGGCCCGCUCGAUGUUCUCUGCCUAUUCUCCUUCUUUCACCAAUCAUUGGGAUGGUAUGGUGACUGUAUAUAGGGUUGCUACCAUCGCCAUGAAUAAUCACCUCUUGAUGAUUCCAUUCGAACUUCACUGCCUGGUGCAGGGUUGAUGCUACAGCUCCAGCAGCGUGGAUCCAAGGUCGUCCCAACAGCGAGUUGUAGGAUACUGGGACAUCUAUCACUUUAAAGUUAACGUCGGACCAAGUUGGUCCCAUUUGCAGGCAUAAAUUGAUUUCCCCAAUCGUGGACCUUUGGGACCCGUCGAAGGCUUUGACAUUGACGGCCACUUCUUUGAUCUCAUGCAGGCUCUUUCCCAACGUCUGAGGGUUAUCAACAAACAUAUGUUGAGGCUAGAUCAUCUGUCAAUCGGGACAAUAGUAAUGAUAAUCCUCGCAUUGUACGAUGAUGUGCAGUGCCUUGUUGUGACUCAGCCCUUCUGGUGGCAGCUCAUCUUCGUGGAAGGUGAAUUUGUGGCUCGCAAGUACUUGUCCUACCAAGUUUUUCAUUUCCCCUCCAGUUAUGUUGCUGGGAACAUAUGACUCACUCAGUAUCUUCAUCAGGGCAUUCUUGUGUGCGUCAGAGCUCUGCAGAAGAGCUAGGAUGGGAAUCUGUGCCGGUGUUUUAUUUAGUUGUUUAAUGACCGAGUACUGUUUUGCUUGUAUCUUCCUCUAAAGAUCAUCGGGUCCAGUUUCAAUAGGUCAUCCAGAGGCUUGCUUACUGGAAUCAGCUAUGUGUUCUGGAGUGUAGAAUUUGCAUGUUCUGGUCAUACCCUGUGUAGCAAUUGCUUCUCUAAAUUUGGUUUUCCCUUUCCUUCUUGGUUCGGAUGUGUAAUCCCAUGGUAUGGAAUUCGAGUGGAAUGGUGUUAUGUCUGACAUUGUUACCGGAUUAGGCACCCUUGGGGUAACACUGCAACUUUAAAUGGUACAGGUGCUUUUGGAGCUCCAAACUCAACCUCAAUUAGUCCGGGCGCCUUUCCAGGAAGGUACUUCAAACUCGAGUGGUAUAGACAUGUUUACUUCACUGCCCUCGGAGGGAUGGAUCUGGAUGACAAUUAGGUUAAGUGUGCUUGUUGGUUUCUUUGGAUCAUCACCCUCACCAAUCAAUCCUAUCGGCUCAUUGGGGUCCCAGUCAUCUUUGAUCUGGAUCAUGUGAAUGUCUCCACCCUUGUGGUCAGGUAAAGGGUUACUGCGAACAUUAGGAGCAGGAUUCUUUUCUACGAUGAUCUUAUUGUCAAUCAAGGUUUGAAUCUUUUCCUUUAGUGAGUGGCACUCAUCGGUGGUAUGUCCCUUCAAGCCGGAAUGGUACGCACGGGUCUUGUUCGGGAUGACCCACUGGGAAGGAUUUUCUGGAGUUAUGGCAGCGAUAAGGGUGACAUAACUAGAAUCCAUAAGUCUUUCAUAGCUGGUCAAUUGGUUCGGUAAUGGUUGUGUAUUGUCUGGGAGGCCUGCGGAAUUUGGUCUAGGUCUAGGGAAAUUUUGGCGAGUGGAAGGUGAUUGGUAGUGAGAGGGUUGAGAAUUAUAAGCUUGGUUGACAGGUGCGGGUUGGAAGUAUCUGGAUGAAGUGGGCUGAUAUGUGGGAGGUGGAGAUUACUGAUAAACGGGUGGUGGAUUUUGGUAGGAGGAUAUGGGUGCUUGGUAAUUUGGGGUGGACUGAUAUGUAUGUGGAGGUGAUCGGUGAGUUUGGUAUUUUAUAGGGGAUUUUGUUCUCUAUGCGACCAUCACGGCACUCACAUCCUUCUUCUUGGAUGUGCCACCAGACUGUAGAGCCUUGUUGGUAGCCUGCAAUGCUUCAAGAUUAGCAACCAUACCAAUCUUAAUGCCUUCCUCGAUUAUUUCCCCUAGCUUUAUGAUAUCGGAGAAUUUCUGGCCCUCGAUCAGCAUCAACCUCUCAUAAUAUUGUGGAUCCUGAGCCCGGACGAAGUAUCUGUUCCUCUUCUAAGGUUAGCCUGACCUUAGCAGCCUUUGAUCUCCAACGAGUAGCAUACUCACGGAAUGUCUCGGUAGGUUUCUUCUUAAGAUUCUGUAUGUAGAAUACAUCUAGUGUAUUUUCUGUAUUGAAUCGGAACCUGUCCAUGAAGCCGGACACCAUACCUACCCAGCUUGUCCACUUCUUGGGGUCUUGGCUGAUGUACCAAGAUAAAACAUCCCCUUUCAGACUCCUCAUAAAGAGCUUCAUACGGAUCUUCUCAUCCUUUCCUACUCCAACCAGUUUGUCACGGUAUGUCCUCAAAUGGACUCUGGGAUCUCCCGUGCCAUCAAACAUUUCAAACUUGAGACUUUUGUACCCCUCAGGAAGUUCAACAUAUGGCCGAAUGCAAAGGUUUUCAUAAUUCAGCCCCUCAAUACAUUUGUUUUCCUCAACACCAUGGACUCGGCUAAUCAACUUCUUGAGUUCUGCGGCAAGGUUCCUGAUAAGAGAGUCUUUGUCAUCAAACUCAUGUGUGCUUGAGAUUGGUUGGGUGUAGUAUGAUAUGGUUUCCACAUAUAUAGGGGUGUUGUGGGUAGGAUCAUUUGUGGUGUUUAGCGAUUCAGGGAUGAGCAAUGGAGGGUUAUUGGGGGUUUGAUCAGGGAUGAGAAAUGGAGGGUUAUUGGGGGUGUGGCAUGUGUUGCAAUAUUGAGUAUGAGUAGGUUGUUUGUGGUUGUGGGGUGUUCUAUGGAGGUGGAGGAUUUUAGGUGUUGGGAAAGUCGAUAUCGGGAGUGGUAAGGUAAAAUGACAAGAUGGCCAAGUUCUGAACUUGAUCUAUAUCUUCUCGGAACUUCAAUAACUUCUUCUCAAGUUGGGCGGCACUUUCUCUUGAGAUCUGGAUACCCUGAAUAACCUCUGUUUGUUUACCCAAGUUCUCUUUUCGUAUGUUGUUCACAUAUUUCAUGUUAGUCUUGUUCUUGUUUCUGAUAGGACUUGGAGGAGGAGGAGGUGGAGGGCCCUUGGAUCUCGUACUGUAUGAUGAUGAUGCUAGAGUGCACAAACUAAAUUUGGGGAAGAGAAUAAAAAUAAAAUAAAAACAAAAGGUAAUAAGUUAGUACGGAUUAUGGAAAGAAAAUGUUGCAAUAUUUAAACACGUUGUGCGAGAAUAUAAAUCGUUUCCUAAUUUUGGUGCCUCGUUGUGCCCGAGGUAAGCCUAGCGAAAAAAAGAUUUGGAAAACUUAUAAUGCUAAAUGCCUCAUUUUAUUGAUAAAAAUAAGAUGAAUCCCAAAAUGACGCAAAAUAAUAGAAAGUAAAAUAUCUCUAACGGUCGUUGGCCUUUUUACAUCAUUAAAGUAAAAGAAAAAGAGUCCUAACUACUUGGUCCCAGAAGGACCUUCCCCAGAUUCGGCAUCUUUGUCUCCCUCGGACAGUUUUACUAGCUCGCACAGUCCUAGCAGCAGAUAAGCUCGGGCCAGAUGUCCGUCCGCAUUUCCCUCAGCAUUUUGACAGUCUUCAAUCCUCUUGAUGAACUUCCCUUCCAGCUCCACUACACCCUGCUCCAAAUACCCCAGUCGUUUGUUGGCGCUGAAAGCAAUAUCCUUCCACUUUUCAAUCAACUUUUGAUGGGCUUCUUGUAUUUCCCGAUGCUCGCUUUCACAUUCUCGAAUUCUCUUGCGUAGUUAGUUGUACUUAACCCGCACUUCAGCCUUUUUGUCAAUGAUCAUGUGACCUCGAAUGAACCCCGGCUGACUCAAAUUAAAAGAGGUUGAGUAGUCGGAAGCAUGAUUAAUCAAUUUGUAUUAGGCCUAAAGCUUGCCUACGUAUCUUAUUCAUUGCUUAAUUACCUUAAAGCUGAACAUGCAUGUUAAUCCAGUCUUAAAAGGAGAAGACGUGAUUUAGCCUAAACAUGUGUUAAUAGAUAAGCAAAUGGUGAGGCGUUCAGUAAUUACAACCCUGAUGAAACAAAAGUCCUAAGUAACAUGAUAUCUGAUGCAAACAAGCUCCUAAACAUGGUCUCUAAAUGCAGUAGUAGUUUUAAAAAAAAAGUUGUUUGUCAAUUACAAAUUGAUUACAAAGUGAGUAUAAUAAUCUAAAAGUAAAUAGCCUAAACAGGAUAUCUAUAUGCAAGAUGCAUGUCCAACAUAUAGUUUCUAUUGCACAAAUAAGUAAUUAAAGCUCCAUAGACAUGUUAUCUUUUAAUUAAACCAAACAUGCAUAAUCCACACCCAUUUCACUAUAGAUCCGCUGCUUAUAAGUUAUUACAAACCACGAUAGCUGAAUUACAUAAUGAAAAAUAAAAAUAAGAAGUUACUCUAUAAGGAGCCUUCAACCAGGCCCAAUUCUUCCAACCUCACUUCUUUCGAGUUUCAAAGCCCUUUGCUAUUGUUUGGGUGAGGAAAGCUCCCUAAUGGCCCAUUGGGAUCCUUGGCCAAUACCAGCACCCAAACACUAUAAAAAUUGAGCAAGUGCAGUGUGGAAUUACCAGCCUUGUGCAUCAAAGUUUCAUGGGUACUCAAAAGGUACCCAAGGCAAUGUUUACACGAAAGGGGUAGGACCUAAACUAUAGGAGUAGUGAGAUAUGACAUGGUUUUUAAAGAAAAUGAGUUGAAAAACAGUUUAGGAGAAUGAUCUAUACAGAAGCAGUUUUGAAAGAAAACAAUGUGACAAUUCUGACAAUAUCACAUAUAGUUCACGGAAGUAAACACAAAUUGGGAAAAGGGGGGAUGGGGACAAGUAGUCCACAGACAUUAUUUCAGAACAUAGACAACCACACCAGGUUUCAAACAAAAGGGUCAGGACUACAAGUUGAUAAUGUACUAGGGCUAGGGGCAGGGGAGUAAAUCAAUAGGCAUUCUAGAUUAAGAGGGAUGAACUAAACGCAGGAACAUACUAGUUGCAAUAAGAACAACAUACCCAUAAGUAAAAUCAUAGAAGAAAUAGAAUAAAAUGCAGUAUGUAUAAAUACAUGUUGUUUUGAGAGCUCUAAAUCAAAUAUAGGGCAUACCAGUCGAGGAUGAGAUAACAUAGAGCAGUAGUAUGCAGAGAAAGAGCAGUAGUAUGAAGAGAAGUGAGCAGCAGUAUGCAGGCCAAAGCACGUACCAAUGUAAAGAACAGUGGAAUAGUAAAGCAGGCUAAAUCACUUAGUCGUGGCAUUCAGUCGAGUGAGUAAUCAGUAGACACAAGGAAAGUGAGAAAGGUUGUGUAGAAACAAGAGAGAACACUGAGUAUCUUUUGUGUGUAAGAGAGAGUUCAUAAUAAUGAAUUUUGUUCGUGUCUGGAAGUGAUAAUAUAGGAGAGAAUAUAUAGUAGUUGAGAGCAGAGUAAAUUAAGGUCAAGGAAAUCAAUUUUCAUCAAUCAAGGAAGCCACAUAAUCAGUCAGGCAAAAAAUCAGCAAGUUUUCCCUUAAUUAAGGAGUAAUUUGCCAACGGUAAAGAGCAUAACAUAUUUAAGGAAAAAAAUCAAGUAAGACUUAGGCACAAGGUAGAAAAUUAAGGGUAAAUACACCAGGGUUGAAUUAGGGAAACAAUUAGUAAAGAAUCAACAAGUAACACGGUUAAUUAAAAUAAGGUAAGAAAACUAAAUAAGGUUGCAAAUAUAUGGAAAUAAUCGAGAAUCAGCACAUAGGUAUUAACAUAACAACUUGGUGAAUCGAAAAUUCGAAAUAACAAUGAUUUAAGGGAAAUGUCACUGAUCUCCAUGUGUAAGCAAAUAAGCCAAGUAUAAACGGAAAGAAUUGAGUCUCAAAUCUUAACAGAGGCAUACUAGGGCAAAAUCACAAGACAUUCUAAUUAAACAAAAAAUUAAUCAUGCAAAUCAAAGCACAAAACAUAGGCAUGCAUCAAACAACACGGACGAGUGCAGAAUCCAAACAAUGUUUCAAAAAUUGGGGGUUUUAGCAUAGGCUGGUUAGGGUUAAGGAAGAACUCAACAAAAUCAGUAAAAACCCAUAGACACAUAGGGUUAAACACUUAAAACCAUAAAGCAUUUUGAAGAAAAGGAUUUUCAGAAGCCCUAGUUUUGAAAAGAAGAACAAAAAGUUGAAAAAGUUCAGUAAUCUAAGAAAUAGAGUAGAGAGUAGUGUAAAACACAAAGAAUAAGUUAGAAAUCGUUUCUAAAGGACAUAGAUUAAAAGAACUAGGCAGAAAUUGGGGUUUCGUAAUAAAUUAGUGAGAUAUAAGGAACAUGCUAUGAAACUCAUUAAUAAUGAUGUUCAUAGUACCAUCGGACCAUAAACCAUCGGUGAAAGGCCGGAGACAAACCAGGCAAGGCCUCCGGUAACCAUCUUGUAUGGUAGAGGCUUCUGGAGUUGAAACUAGAGGGAAUCAACAAGGUACAGUUCCAUGGCAGUUGGUAGCCGAGAGAAGUGAGGACGGAGGUGGCCGGAGAGGCGGUGGCUUCUUCGGAGAAGAGCGAGAGAACCAGAAGUUUCUAGAGAAAAGGGAGAGAAAACGUUAGCAUAUAUAUAUAUAUAUAUAUAUAUAUAUAUAUAUAUAUAUAGAGAGAGAGAGAGAGAGAGAGAGAGAGAGAGAGUCUGAAGUGAGGGAUUUGGGGGAGGGUCGUUUAGGUUUUAAUUUAGGAAAAUAAAUCUGGGUCGUUGAUCUUAUUUGAUCAACGGCUCAGAUCAAAUCAGAGCUGGAUAAGGUAUUUGAAUUGGGUGUGGAUUGGGUAAUUUAGGAUAUGGGUUGGGGAAUUUGGGGUUGAAAUUGGGGUUCAAUUUGGGCUAUGAUCACAAUAAAAUUUGGCUAGCAUUUAAAUAACUAAUUUUUUCUUUUUUAUUUUAUGAAAACAGUGAGAAAGAUUUUAAAAAUAAAUAAAAAUACCAAACUAACUAAUAAUGUAUAAAUAUUAAUCUAAAAAUAUUGAAAAUAAUUUAUAAUUAUAAAAUAUAAUUAAUUGUAAAAUAGGCUAUAAUUGCAAUUAUAUUCAAUUUAGUUUUGAAAAUGCCAAAUAAAUAUGUAAAAUAUGCAAAAAAUUACCUUAAUUAUAUUUUAGUGUCAAUAUGAGAAUAAAUUGAAUUAUUCACAAAAAUAAUAAUUUUUGGAAAUAAUUAUUAAAUUAUGCAGUAUUAAAAUAGACAAUAAAUUGGUUUAAAAAAUCUUUAAAAUUUAGGAAAAUACCAAAACACUUGGGUAUGCUCAUAUAUGUUAUUUUGAAAGUAUUUUGAAUAUAAAAAUAUCUAAAAAAAAAUUGGGUAUCAAGAGCGGGUACCUCACACUUAGUUCAAACCAUUUUGUUUGCUUUUGCUUCCUUCCAAUGGAUUUAUGUUCCAUGUUUAUACACCUACAAUAUAAAUAAAAAAACAAAACAAAACGAUGCUACAAGAAUAAUAAAUUAAAAAAUAUAAAUAAAUAAAUAAAUAGAAGAAGUAAAGUUGGGUUGCCUCCCAACAAGCGCCCGAUUUAACGUUGCGACACGACGUGAAUCAAUUUUAUCACUUUUCUCUCUACCCGGAAGAUAUGUAUUGGUCACCUAACUUGGAAUCAAGCGUGUGACCACGAGCAACGAGGGGUGAUAAGUAAAUAAUCAAGCCAAACAUCAUUUCUUCGUUUUGCAUUUCUUGGCUCUCUUUUGAGGGAUGUCUUUUGCUUUCGUGACAAUCAAGCCUUCAAAUGGUCACUUUUCCCGGAUUUUGAAAUUCUCUUUUUUCCUCUAACUAGAGUCAUUUUUGACCAUCUUUUCAACUAUAUUAAUUGACUCUAAUUUCAUAUUUUUCUUGGCAUCACCAGCUCUAAUUCCAACUCAACUUUCGACCUUUCGCAUUUACGGCCUCACCCUCGCACCUGCGGAGCCGCCUCUGCAGAAACCUCAUUGCAGAAGUGCUUCUGCUUCUGCGAAAAAUGCUCUACAUCUGUAGACCCAGCACAACCUGCCCAGAUUCACUUUUGCGGAUCCAUGUAGGCAUUUGAGAACCUACACAUGCGGUCAUCCCUUCGCAGGUGCGAAUGCACCACAGAUCAGAAAAAUAACAACAAUGUACUAAGUCCGAAAAUGAAUCCGAAACACACCCCGCGUACCCCGUCCAACCAUUCCAACCAAUCCCAAGAUAUAAUACGAAUCUACUCAAAGCCUCAAAUUAAAUAAAAAACUUCAAAAUCACGAAUCAUACUACGAUUCAAGCCUAAGAAACUAAUGAAUUUUUAACUUCUAAAACUCGUGCCGAACCACAUCAAAUCAACCCGAAAUGACCUCAAAUUUUGCACUCAAGUUUCAUGUGACAUAACAAACCUAUUCUAACUCCCGGAACACAAAUCCAAACUCGAUAUCAACAAAUUCAACUCCUGGUCAAACCUACAAACUUCCAAACCUUCAACUUUCUAACUUUCGCGAAAAAGCACCAAAGCAACCUAUGAACCUCCAAAUCCACAAUUGAACAUACGCCCAAGUCCAAAAUCACCAUACGAGCUAUUGAACCCAUCAAAACUUUAUUUCGAAGUUGUCUACAUAAAAGUCAAUCUCUGAUCAACUAUUUCAACUUAAGUUUCCAACCUUCAGACUAUGUAUCCCAAUUUACUCUGAAACUUCCUCGCAACCAAAUCAACCACUACGGCAAGUCACGUAACAACAAUUGCACAUAUGUAAAAUAUUAAAUAGGGAAACAUGCCUAAAAAUAAUCAAAAUGAUCGGCCGGAUCAUUAGACUAAUAGUUCUUAUAAUGGUGCAACAGAUAUAAUAGUUCUACUUCGAGUAUGAACUGGUCUCACAAAUGUAUGGUGUUUCUGAUAUAUUAGGAUACAUUAACACGUAAAGUGAUUUGAAACUGAUUUUUUUUAUUUCUAAAGAAAAUCUAAUAAUUUUGAUUUUAUCAAUAAAUAGAAUUAACUUUAUAUGUUAAUUUUUAUUUCAUCCAACUCAAUAAAUUUAUUUAAAAAUUCAUUAUUACUUUCAUUUUACAUAUACAAUGCUGCGUGAAGCAUAGGUAAAUUUAUUACUCCUUUCGUCUAUUUUUUACUUGUCUACUAUUGAUUGCACAUUUUUAAAAAUUAAUAUUUUAUUAUAAUACCCAUAUUCAUUACGGAAUAGUCUUAAUAGAUUGGGACACCUAGUAUGAAGUUUACUACAAGAAAUGCUAGUGCUGUAGCCAUAAUCAUUUAAGUAACAUCUAAUGUUUUGAUUUUCGCGAUGCAGUUGCCGCUUAAAGAACUAAAGUUGCAAUAACAAAAUUAACAUGAGAACUUACCAAUCGUCGAUACCGAGUAUAUAAAGUAGUUGAAAAGCUAGUCGAAAUUUCGGCGCUCUGAUCUCCAACAAAACUUGUGCCCUUAUCAUUCGAUUAGCGUACACACUUUCUUUCCCUCCUUCAUUCUCUGAAUAAAAUUACUUUAAAUAUUAGCGGAUCCAAAAUUUAAAUUAUAUGAAUUUAAUUUUGUCACGCUUCAACUUUGAAAGGUGUGACUAACACUUGAUGUCGCACUGGUCCAAACGAAUCAUUUUUCUUAAAUAUGAAUAUAUAUAGACCGUCAAAGCCUCUGACAUACUGUACAAUUUAAAUCUCUGUCUACAAAGCCUCUAUGAUUAUUUGACAUCAAAUGAGAUAGAAUACCGGCCUACUCAUAAGUUUAUAGUAAAACUACUCUGACACAAUGAUUUAUAGACCCGGUUGCACUCCGAAUGAGGUGGAAUCUUACCGAUCCUCCGUUGAAUGCCAAUCUCGUCUACUAUGAGGACUCAUCAAACUGAUUAUCUACACCUGCAUGCAUGAAUGUAACGUCCCUAACAAAAGGAUAUCAGUACGAAUAAUGCACUGAGUAUGUAAGGAAGAACUUAAACAUAACAGUAAGUCAAUAUUAAUUAAAGACAUGGACUAAACUACUCAACCUAUAAGUCUGGAUAGCUCUGUGAAUAAUGAAAUAUUUAUAGUAUCAUGCAUAUGCGUAUAAAUGUCAUGCAAUGUAUAGGUUGUUCGUUCAUAAUAUCAUCAAGCCUAUGAGGCAUCCCAUCAUAUCAUUUCAACUAUUGUGGGCAACAUCAUCAUCGUAUACAGUUGAUCAGGUAGUGAUGCGUAUAUAACGCCGUAACCUUUUCUCAUAGCCCGAUAUAUAUACAUAUAUACGUGUAUAUAACGCCGUCUCAGUCAUGGGUAAAUUCACGUGUAAAUAAAUGCAAUGCAUGAGAAGUACAUUAAUAAAAUUUCUCGGAACGUCAUAGGACCAUUAUACCUCUGACUAAUAUCAUGAAAUAAAGACACAUGAACAGAAGAUGUAAUAAUAAGACAUAUGUAAAUUCAAGAACAUAAGUACAUCUAAUACUGCUAUGAACAAAAUUACUUAUAAAAGUUGUGUGUAUGAUCGUUUUAUUUGUAUUAUUUUAGAUCAUUCAAAAAAAAGAUAAUCUCAACAUACCUUUAAUGACGACUUUAUCGAAGGUGAUGAACCUGGCUCUCUUUAGGUCUUCUUGAUUGGGACGUUCGUGAAAAGAUAUAUGAUGCAGCAAAAACAUUGGACUUUUCUGUGGCGACUUAAAAACUUCAUCAAAAUUCUUAAAUGAAUGUUCAUGACCUAAUGAAGAUAUGCAUGCAGCCAUUGAUGUGUUGAUUUACAAAACCUUUUUUUUUAUCGGAUGUCCCCGAUGGGACUUGAUUUACAAAAGCUUUGGAAAGUAAAAAUAUGAGGUGAUGAAAGUUUGGUUAAAAGAUGGAGUGACAUAUGUAUAAGCGUAGUAUAAUCUUAGUUAGAAUAAGCUACGGAAACUGAAAAAUAAAACUAGUGCUUGAAGAGCACGUUCGGGCUUGGUUAUAAGCAACUUAUAUAUGUAGUAAUCCUAGUUAGAAUAGCUCAGGGAAAAACAGCUUUUGGAAAGUAAACAGAAUCACUUUUCUUUUUGAAAAUGCCAGAUGAUGCACUUAAUUGACAUAUUUUUGUAAGAAGAUUAAAAUUUUGCUUUUGCAUAUUCUUUCUAGGAACUAUGAAUUAGGAGCCACCUAUUUGACAGAUGUUCAAAAGUGAAUAUUAUUCCAUGCAUGAACCCCAUGUCUCCCUCCAAUAUUAUAUUAUUUUUUACUUCAUAGCAGCUAACUAUUUAAUAACGUGACAUUCUUUCUUUUUCUUUCUUUUAUUUAUGAAUUUUUAAUAACAUGACAUUCUACAAGAGAUUACAUAGAAUUGACCAAGAACAACCCUAUAACUCAUUUGAUUACCUAUCACGAUCCAAGUUCGUCCUCCGUGAACUACCAUGACGGCAUCUAGUCUCUACGACUAGGUAAGCCUAACAAAUACGGAAAAGAAACAAUUUGCGCAAAGAAAAUAUUAUAAAACUGAAAUAACAAAAUGAAAUAGUGUUUAAGAUGCCGCCUGGCACAUAACAGUACAAGAAUCUCAACCUGACACUUUCCAAAAUUCGGAACCCCAUGAAUCACAAACUAAGAGAUACAUAAGAAGUUCUAACUCGAGAAAUGUCUAACAAAAAGGAAAAAUACUGAAGGACUAUCUAUUACAGAAAGAUAGAAAGGGACUCCUCGGUCUGCGGACACGACAUAUAUACCUCGAAGUCUCUACAUAAGCGCCUCGCCUCAAGGAUAAUAAGACUGAGUGGAAGUACCUGGAUCUGCACAUGAAACAUCCGUAGAAAGGGCCUGAGUACAUCACAUCGGUACUCAGUAAGUGCCAAGUCUAACCUCGGCCGGGUAGUGACGAGGAAAGUCAGGGCCCUACUGAGAUUAAAUGAAAUAUAAUGUAUAACAGUGUAGAGUAAGAUAGUAUAAUUAAGUGAAACAGUAAGGAAAUAACAUAGAAUAGAAAGAUCAACAGAAAUUAUAAUAGAGACAAUAUAAUCACGAAAAGGAUUACAACUCAACACAGAGAUAACAAUCGAGAUAUCUUUCAGGAUACAGUCAUGUAGUCCUAAAUGCAUCUAUCAGGAUACAGUCAUGUAGUCCUAAAUGCAUCUAUCUAGUGGAUCUCCCGGGAUACCAUCCCGUAGUCUAUCAUAUAUAUACGAAGGAUCUCCCAGAAUUCCGUCUCGUAGUCCAACUAACAGUGCACGAGAAUCUAUCGGAAUCUCGAUCUGUAGUUCCAAAUAUAAAUAUCCAGUACUGGGAGGAUCUACUGGGUGCAGUCCAGUAGUUCCAUAUAACUGGACAGGGGAUCUAUCAAAAUACCACAUCCGUAGCCCCAAAUAAACAUACAAGAAGGGAGGGGAUCUAUCGGAAUCCCAUAUCCGUAGUUCCAAAUAUAAAUACUUAGCAGCAACAUGAAGAAUAUUCAGCAAAUCUCAAAGUACUUAAUACAAUUACUUCUAUGAAAGCUGGAAAGGUGCAAGUUUUAAAUUAUCUACUACAAUUGAACUAGAAUAAGAAUAAGCACAAUGGAACUGGUUCUUCCAUCUUGUUGAAGUAGCUGCAGGCGUGCACACUCAAACUCACAUAAAUUGCAUGCAAAAUAACCUUACUCUCUUGCUCUCAAUUUUUCUUAACUUCAGCAUAUGUGCAUACCUUUUAAAGAGAACAACUCAGUUAUUUAUUAGAUUAGUAAUUAGAGUUGGAUUGUGACUCAACUUCUGAGCCUCCAUUGAGUUUAAGUCCUAGACCAAUCCAAACUUCAACCCUUAUCCAGAUGUGUUCUCUUCUCAUAAGGAGACAUCUUCUCCUUAUCCCAUAUGCAAUCUUUUUGAUCAGUUCAUAAGAUAUUCAGAAGAUAUUGUUGCUUGAUCCCCGACGACUUAUCUUCUUAACGUUCAUCUCAUAUGUAUGGUCCAUAACAAUUGUGUCUCGUAUGAUGGACCUGGUCCUUUACUGAGUUCAUUUGUCAUUUUUCAAAACUUCAACUGAUCAUGGGCCAACAAAUUCCCCCCUUUUUGACGAUGACAAACUCUGUGCUUUCACUGAUCAGAGAACCUGUAGAACUCAGCUAAAAUAUCAUCAUUUGAAAAAUUUUAACUUAUCAUUAAGGGCCAGAUUUAAUAAGGUCAUAAAAAUCAUUGUUCAUAAAAAAAUAAACACAAUAUCUUUUUAAUAACAAUACACAAUAUCUUCCCCCUUUUGGCAUUAUCGAAAUGUUGUAUAAACAUGUGAAUCUCAGAAUAUUAAUCAUUACUCAUGGCCACUGGGCAACUGCAAGUGAAAGCCUGCUUUAGUUAAUCAAAAAUCAACUUGACAAACAUAACUAUUAAGAGCAGAGUCAUCAUAAAACAAGAGAAAUGCAAAUUGUCGUUGAUAAGGCAUUGCUUAUAAAAGACAAUCCACAAAAAGAAAGAACAAAAACAACCAACCAUGAACAAAAAUAAGAAAAAUUCCUAAUCUGGGUCACUGGGGGGUAAUUGAACUGGUUCAGAACAAGGACAAAGAGGGCUAAGGCUUUGAGGAACUAGAGGGCUUGGAUUGGAGUAGGUUGAGCAUUUUUGUAUCAUCCCUUCACUCUUUUCCUUUUCUUUUGCUAGUUCUGCUUUCAGUCCAUUCCAUUCUUCUUCUAACUCAGCCACACGAGCCUGAAGCCUAGCAAUCUCAGAAUCUUUGGUCCCACAUUCUUGAACCAAAGCCCUAGCUUUGCUAUUCACUGGAGUCUUCACUGAUGAACCAGGUUCAGCAUGGGCUACACUUAGCAGAUAGUCACAGGCCUGGAGAGUCUUGAUUCCAAAGAUCUCCUUACUAUAAGCCAUUUUCCAUUUCUUCAGAGGAAUGUUCAAUCUGUCCAGUAUAGUUGUCAGAAUGAAUCCAUUAAUGACUCUAUCCAUCAGGUUGACUAUGAAAGCAGGCCAGUUAAUCUGCUUACCCCUCACAAGAUAUUCCAUGAGAACCAGGUUCAUGUAAUUUGCAGUGUGUCUCCUCUCCUGUCUAGGAAGUAGGCACUUGUUCACAAACUCAAAGAUCACUUUAUGCUCUAGCUUCAUUUCACUCUUUUGAACAAAUCUUGCUUCAGGCACCUCUUCAGCAUCCUUUGUACCACUGAAGUUCCUGGUAAUUUGGAGUGAUGUGGGCAGAUCAUCUAGAAAAUGCCACCUUUGCCUGGUGUAAUCAUCAUAGCCCUCACUUGGAAUGUCUAGAAUCCUGCCCAAUUCAGGCACCUCUUCAGCAUUCUUUGUAUCACAGAAGUUCCUGGUGAUUUAGAGUGAUGUGGGAAGAUCAUCUAAACAAGGCCACCGUUGCUUGGUGUAAUCAUCAUAGCCUUCACUUGGAAUGUCUAGAAUCCUGCCCAAUUCAGGUGCAUCAAACUUCACUUUCACACCUUUCACCACACUGGUCACUAGCCUAUUUUUCACAAACCCAUUUGCCAUGAAUUCAAUCAGCUCUCUUCUGGCUAGUCUUCCAUCCAUCUGAAGGACCAUGUCCUUCCAACCCUGUGCAGCUAAAACAUCCAACAACCUAAGCAUGUCUGGCUCCUCCAGGUCUUUCAGCAGCCUUACCUUCAAUAUCUUCCUCCUGCUAAAUAACAAAGCGAUCUUGCUCUUGUUCAGACUCCUCCUCUUUUUUAAGCAUGCCUGGCUCCUCCAGGUCUUUCAGCAGCCUUCCCUUCAAUAUUUUUCUCCUGCUAAAAAUAACAAAGCGAUCUUGCUCUUGUUCAGACUUCUCCUUUUCUUCUUCUCCACUCCACUCUUCAUUUUCUUUUUCAGUAAUUUUCACUUGUUUUCCCUUUACAGCAGACCUAGUUCUUUUAGCCAAAGAAGGUUUAGCACGUACAAAUUUUGAAGACUUCUUUGUAUGAGUCUUGGUUCUUUUUGGUUUGUACUAUAAAUUCUCAAAACGGAAAAAAAAGGAGUAACUUCUCUUAUGAUAAAGUACUAUCUACUUUUAUAAUAAAUAAAAUCUCAUUUAUAAACUCUCACAUGUCAUGUAUUUAAAUUAAAACUUAUCACGACCAUAGAAAAUCAUAUCUAUCAACUUUUACCGAAAAUAGUUUACUUCAAAGAAAAUAAAUAUCAAGCCAAAUAUAUAGUAGUUCCGAAAUUCUUCAAACUUUCAGGGUCUUAAAUCCAUAUCUUCACGCAUAACCUUAAUCCCUUACAACAUAUAUGUUAUUACUUCGAUGAAUCCUAAUAUUAAAGUAUGGGAUAUAAUAAACUUGUAAAAUUUUAACAUUCAAUCAAUUAUAUUUUUAAAGUUACGAGUUUAUAUAUGCUAUUUUUGCAUUUUUACAUAUAAUUUUUAAUUCUGCAUCGAAAGUUAUGGAUUUAAUUUAACAUGUUAUUCGCACACUACAUCCAACUCUACUUCUAAAUAUAUUUUUCACUUUUACUUGUCCAUUUUAGAAAAUUAAGAGAAUUUUUUUCUUCUUGAUUUACCCUUGUCAUUAAUUAUUUACAAAUCACUUCUCAAUACUUUCUAAAAUGUUAUCAUUAUUAUGGGUAAAGUUGUAAAAUAUAUUUUUAUUUAUUUUUUGUUAAAGGGAUUGCAAAGUUAAAAGUAGACAACUUAAAAAUGAAUAAAUGGAGUAGAAAUUAAUUUUUGGAACUAAGAACUCCGGAAACACUGAAAAAUUUCUCCUAGAGUCCGAACGGCACAUUUCUAACUCUCGAAACUCGGUAACAUGGAGUGUUUUUGUAUUUUAGUUAAAGAUAUUUUUGUCUAAAUUUUAUUUUCGCAUUAACAAAGUUGGUAUUUCUCAAUUACAUUUCAAAUUGGAGCUAAAUAUUAAGAAGCAUUCCAAGGAUCCCACCCACUUUUAACUGUUCUCUCUCAUCGUUGAUUUUAAGAGAGUUGACCUUUUACUGAUACAUAGAGAAGAAUAUUACAUCUGACCUUUUCUUUGUAUGACCUGGCCAUUUUUCAAAGGAUGAAGAAAUAUUUCACCAUAUGAAAUGGAAUUAUUGAAAAAAGAAAACAAGGAGAAUGAUUGUUGUAUAAUUUUUCCUUAUAACAGCAACUUCUCUCUUUUAAAAAAACAACGUUGCAACGAGGAAAAUUCUUGGUGCCUGCUACUGAGACGUAAAUAUUUUUUAAGUCAGAACUGUCCCCAGUCAAGUCAAGUCUUGUUAUUUUUUCAAGUCCGCACACUUUGACAACAACUUCGCCUCAGCGGAAAAAUAAUUGCAUUUAGUCAUCUAAUAACCCCAUCCUCUAAGGGAAAGAUUAAUUUAAUUUUUUUUUCUUCUGCAAAGUAAGCACAAGAAGCAAUGGAAGCCAUAAAUAUUCAUUUCUUGUUGUUUUUCAUAUUGAUUCUUUAUGGUGCUGCAGAUACCAUACCAGUAGAUCAGCCUUUAACAGAUGGAAACACCAUUAUUUCAUCAGGUGGAAAGUUUGAGUUGGGAUUUUUCUCCCCUGGCACAUCCAGGAAAAGGUACGUCGGAAUAUGGUUCAGCAAAGUUUCUGUACAGACAGUGGUAUGGGUUGCUAAUGGAGACAGUCCACUCGAUGAUAGAAAUGGUAUGCUAAAUUUUACAAGACAAGGAAUGCUUGUUCUUCUUAAUGGCUCCGGCCAUGUCAUUUGGUCCUCCAAUGCUACCAGGCAUGCGCAAAAUUCAACAGCGCAGCUUCUUGAUUCAGGUAAUCUUGUUGUUCGAGAUGCGACAGUGAAUUACUUGUGGCAGAGUUUUGACUAUCCCACUGACACAUCUUUGCCUGGAAUGAAGGUUGGAAUCGAUCUUAAGACUGGUUUUCGUCGUUCCCUCUGGUCAUGGAAGAGCACAAAUGAUCCUUCCAGGGGUGAGUUUACUUGGACAUUCGAUCCUCAUGGAUUCCCACAGCCAUUUAUCAUGAACGGUUCCAUUGAACGCCACAGGUUUGGACCAUGGAAUGGUCUAGGAUUUGCUAGUGCAUCAUCUCGGCUACCAGGUCCUGGUUAUAAAUAUACAUAUGUAUCCAAUCCUGAGCAAAUAUCUAUCAUGUAUGAGCUCAUAGACAGCUCUAUCUUUGCAAGGGUAGUGAUGCAGCUAGAUGGGGUUCUACAGCUUUCAUUAUGGAAUAAUCAAACACAGAAUUGGGAUAAUUACUUUGGUAGCGCACCAGCAGAUGACUGUGACAUUUACAGUCGGUGUCACGGAUAUAGUUUGUGCAAUAAUGGCAACUCUUCAAUCUGCAGCUGUUUGGAUCAGUUUGAACCCAAAAACCCGACAGAAUGGGCAAGGGAAAAUUGGUCAAGUGGCUGUGUUAGAAAGACAACAUUGAAUUGUCAAAAGAAAGUUAAAUUCUUGAAGUAUCCAGGCAUCAAGUUGCCAGACACUCGUUUUUCUCGGUACAACCAUGGAGUGAAUCUUAGUACAUGCGAGGAAUUGUGCUUGAGAAACUGUUCGUGUGUCGCAUAUGCAAAUCCAGACAUAACAGGGACAAAUGAAGGCUGCUUGCUUUGGUUUGAUGAGCUGAUCGACAUCAGAGAUCUUGGUGCUAGUGGGCAAGAUAUCUAUAUAAAGUUGGACUCUUCCCAGUCAGGUACAAGUCUGCUACUUUAUUUGUGCAUGUAAGACUGUAAAGAAAGCUACAUUAGAUUCUAGACAAAACUAAAUGUCAUAAAAUGUGCAAGAUGAGGCCUGAGGUUUUUCAACAUCAUUUAAAAUUAACAAAAAAAAAAAAAAAAUUCCUACUUAUGAAACUCAGAUGAAUUUAUUUGAAUCCUCAGAGAACUCCAGCUUAGAGAAAGUAAAGAAAUUGAGAAUCAGCUUGCCGUUGGCAAUAUCGAUUCUUCUCUUAGCAUUAUGUUUGAUCUUGUACAUAAAGCAAAAGAAGAAGAAGAAGAAAAAUGUGCCAGCUGAGGCCUGAGGUUUUUCAACAUCAUUUAAAAUUAACAAAAAGCAAAAAAUAUUUCCUACUUAUGAAACUCAGAUGAAUUUAUUUGAAUCCUCAGAGAACUCCAGCUUAGAGAAAGUAAAGAAAUUGAGAAUCAGCUUGCCGUUGGCAAUAUCGAUUCUUCUCUUAGCAUUAUGUUUGAUCCUGUACAUAAAGCAAAAGAAGAAGGAGAAGAAGGAUCAGGAUCAGAUACAUUUUGGCGAAGGUACCAGACGUUUUUCUGCUUCGAAAUUUGUGUUAUGUGGCUUAACUAAAUGUGCUUUAAUUUCUGGAUUCAUUUAGUCUCAGGAAUUUUCUGUUUACGUUGAGUUAAGUCCUUAUUUUCAUCAGGAAAAGGAAGAAAGAUCUCUGAAAUGUUCUACACCAAUGAAAGUAAAGAUGAAGUUCCAGAUGUACCGUUGUUUGAUUUUGCGACCAUCUUGGAUGCUACCGAUAACUUUUCACUGAACAACAAGCUUGGAGAGGGUGGUUUUGGUCCUGUUUAUAAGGUAACAAAGUUAGGGGCCACUCUUUCUUUUUCCUUCAAACUAACUACCCAACAACUGCAGUACAUUAUCUUAUGAUGGAACGUUGACUAUCUUAACUUCAAAACAUAAGUUUUGGUUAGAAAAUUUAUCUCCAAUUCUCCUAUUUCCCUUAAACAACAAUGUGAUAUUAAGUAACCAACAUUCUGGAGAAGCUCUUUCAUCUAAUUGCAUGAUGAUAUCUAGGGUAUGCUGAAAGAGGGACCAGAAAUUGCAGUCAAGAGACUUUCAAGAUACUCGGCCCAAGGGACUGAUGAGUUCAUGAAUGAAGUUAUCUUCAUUGCCAAACUCCAGCAUCGGAAUCUUGUUAAGCUUCUUGGUUGCUGUAUUCAAGCAGAAGAAACAAUGUUGAUUUAUGAAUACAUGCCUAACAGUAGUUUGGAUUGGUUCCUUUUUGGUUGGUUCUCACCUUAUUUAUUCCUGUAGCACAUUUAGCUUUCAUGAAUUAUCUAGUAAAGAAGCAAAAUCAUAAGCUUUCGAUUUCUGCAGAUAGAGAUCGGAGCUUACUACUUGAUUGGCCUAAGUGCUUCCAUAUUAUUAAUGGAAUUGUGCGAGGACUUCUCUAUCUUCAUCAAGACUCAAGAUUGCGGAUAAUCCACAGAGAUCUUAAACCUAGCAAUGUUUUGUUAGAUAUUGAUAUGAACCCAAAGAUAUCUGACUUUGGAACGGCGAGAAGUUUCGGAGGAAAUGAGACUGGAGCAAGGACAACCAGAGUGGUUGGAACAUAGUAAAGAUCUUAAGAAGUUGCGGAGGAAAUGAGACUGGAGCAAGGACAACCAGAGUGGUUGGAACAUAGUAAAGAUCUUUAAACCAAUGAACAAAUUCCUCUUCACUAAAAAGCUACUUACUUUCUUUUGUUUAAUAUUGUCCUGCAGUGGCUACAUGUCUCCAGAGUAUGCAGCAGAAGGAAAAUUUUCAGUGAAAUCAGAUGUAUUUAGCUUUGGAGUUGUAGUACUGGAGAUUUUAAGCGGGAAGAGAAAUAGAGGGUUCUCCCAUCCAGACCAUCACCAUAAUCUUUUGGGGCAUGUAUAAACUCUUCCUGUCUAUCUUAAAACUCAGGUUGGUAAAACUUAUAGCAUCUAACUGCAUGAUAUCAAAUGUUCAGGCGUGGAUCCUCUUCAAUGAAGGCAGGGUUUUGGAACUAAUAAAUGCACAUCUAAGGGAGUCAAGCAACCUGUCUCAAGUGCAACGAUCAUUCCAUGUAGGUCUAUUGUGCGUGCAGCAAUGUCCAGACGAUACCUAGCAUGUCAUAAAUCUGAAUUUCACCUAUUGAUAAAGUAGUCUUGCUAAAGACACCCGAAUCGGAUGUACCAGAUAAUAAAUUGCAAUCACAUGCCAUCUCACAUCACACAAGGAUAUGAAUAUAGGCAUUUAAGGAAGCACGUAAGAACUGAGCAAACAUGACAAACAAACUAAAGCUUACAGUUCAUCUAGCACGCAAGGUGAAAGUUCUGUAAAUGACAUAAGCAUCACAAUGUUGGAUGCUAGAUAGGAGAUGACUGUUUGCUUCCAGAGGCCUUAUUUACUCAAGAGCAUCCAGUUGGUCAACUUAAUAAAGAAUUUUGUGUCCAAUAGCAAUGUGUCCUCUGUCCGGUAUCCAUCAUAGAAAUUGCAAAAGGGGUAUGUUGCUGCCGUUUGAAAGGAUUAAUAGCCUGUUUGGCCAUGCUUUUUUUGGCAAAAAGCACUUUUGGCCAAAAAUUGAGGUGUUUGGCCUAGUUUUUGGAAGAAAAAAAAGUGUUUUUGAGGAGAAGCAGAAGCAAGUUUGGAGAAGCAGAAAAAUGUGGAUUCUCUCCAAAAGCACUUUUCUGAGAAGCACUUUUGAGAAAAAUACACUUAGAAGCAGUUUUCAAAAGUUUGACCAAACACUAAUUACUGCUCAAAAGUGCUUUUCUAAUUAAUUAGUCAAACACAAACUACUUCUUACCAAAAGCACUUUUUCUAAAAGUACUUUUGAGAGAAGCACUUUUCAAAAUAAGCUGAUUUUAGAAGCUUGGCCACCCAAGUAAAAGUAAUGUCUAAACCUCCUGCUCUGAUUGGCACAAAGCACAAGAGAGAUGGUCAAAUGUGAACAAGUUCUUUUUUAGUCUAUUCUUCACUCAAGGAAAAUAUCUAUAUAUUUCCUUUUCGCUCAGACCUGCCUGAUUUUGAAAUCUGUUAGUGCUGUAGUUAAUUUGCAUCUGAUUUCUUGAAACUAAACAUUCAAGUUAGUCCCUUACCUCUUCGGGAAGGUUAUGUUAUUUCAUGAAAAGGUUUAAUUUGAAAGGUUGUGUGACUGACUUUUCAUGAAAGGAUUUAUCUGUUGAAGAUAACCCUUAAUAAAGAUAAGACUGGACAUGAGUGGGUGUCUUUGUUGUUCCAAAAAUAAUAAGACUUGUCAUUUUUCAAUGAGAAGAAGGUUGCCAGAUAUUAUUUUCAGAAUUACAAAAGGAGUUCCAAACUUUAGAAAAGAACUCGUGAAUUGUUGAUAAUAACUUUUGAAGGGAAAAGAUUAUGAAACCAGACUGUGAAAUGUGGUUGGGAAGUGAAAACUAGUGCUUCCAAGUUCUUUGUAACAACAUGGAUGAAGAAACGUUUAGUUUCCUGGAGUCUAGGAAAUUCGUUCUGGCUCCAUUUUUUCAUUCGAAAAAACAAUUUAUAGAAUUAAGGAAACCCGGUACAAUUUCACACGGUGCGAUAUGAGGAAGGUAAUGUGUACGUGAACCUUACCCUUAUCUUACGAAGAAAUAGAAGUUGUUUCCGAUAGACCCGUGACUCAAAAACAAUGAAAAAGACACAAUAAACAAAUAGUAACAAUGGCAAAGAAAUAAGAUAGCAGAAAUAAAUAGCAUGACCCGUAAUAGCAAAGGGACUAGGAAUACGAAGCUACAAGAGAAGUGCGAAAACUACCGGCACUAAUGCCACAUCGUCUAACAACAAGGAACUCGGAAUAAGCAAAUACAAGACUAGUACUACUACCACUAGUAGACUAGAAGAGAAUCUCGAUUAUCCGUCAAACCCACGACCCUAUUCCUCGACUUUCACAUCCCCUAUCGAGGGUCAUGUCCUCGAUAAAUUGAAGUAAUGUCAUGUCCUGCCUAAUCAUCUCUCCCCCGUACUUCCUAGGCGUCCCUCUACCUCUCCUCUACCCGGCUAUGGUCAACCUCUCGCAUCUCCUCACCGAGACAUCAUAGCCGAACCAUUUCAGCCUCGAUUCCCGCAACUUGUUGGCCACACCCACCUUGUCCCUAAUAACUUCAUUCCUAAUUCAAUCUUUCUUGGUAUGCUCACACAUACAUCUCAACAUCCUCAUCCCUGCUACUUUAAGAGUAGCAAUCAAGAAACUUCACGCUUAAGAAAAAAGAUUUAAAACUGUAGCUUUAAUAUUAACGACCAAAAUAGGUUGUAGAUGCACAUCAUGGACGAAUUCUCAUACUUUACACCUAAUCUUGAAAGCUCAUAAAUCAUUUGCAUAAUCAUAAUGCUUUCUGUCAUCUCAAUAAUUAUUAUAAAGAUAUAAACAUAACCCUAUCACUCUAAUUCACCAAUAUGCACGUACUUAUAGUUGAGUUGUGAAGUUCAUGUUCUACGUAUGACAUAAUGCAAUUAAUUCAAUAUAUAUAUAUAUAUCCGAAACUGAUUCCAUGUGCAGUGUUCUGAUCUAGAAUUCUAAUUAUACAAUUCUAUAGAGUUCCGGUUAAAGGGUAAGGUUUCCAUUAUUAAAUUAUAUUUUUAUCUCCACAACCUCACAAUUACAACAAUGUCAGCCAUUAUUACGUGUUCCCAACUCAAUCCUUGUCACUACGACAAAUAUAAUUCAUAAUGAUUUCUUUUCUUACGUCAAAGAAUACAUGUUUUGAGGCGAACAUAAUAAUAUACCUAAGUACCAAUAUUGAGUUGAACAGUUGUCCUCUCCUAGCUCUCGAUUCACAACGCCAUCUACUCCACCAGAGACCCCCUGUAGCCUUUUCUUUCAAUUACAGUACCGAUGUCACUCUGCUUUCUCUAGGUAUCUUUUGUUCACUUAUUUAUUUCUCAGGCGUGACUUUAAAGUUUAAACCUGGCAAAAAGAAGAAUGGGUUUCGCCCACUUUUGUCUAACAAACCCCAAACAGACCUACUUUGGGAAAUUAAUAUUUAUGUUCAUUGAUAAGUAGUUCAUUAUAAAAAUUGAUCAAUUAAUAAAAUAUUACUAAUAUUAGCCAAUUAGUUAUUUAUAGUAAAAAAUAUUAAAUUUUUGCUUUGUUUUGAGUGAGUGUUAGAAUAGAUUGAGUACAACUUAAGGAGCUUAAUCUCAGUUUUGGGAUGAUUCGGUGAAGUUUUGAGGUGGUUUGAAUUGAAAAUUCAACAUAAAAAAAUCAUUUGUGUAUCACAUAUGUAUCAUAUUUGUAUCAAUUGUGUAUCACAUGUAUAUCCAUAUAUACCUGUGUGUGAGAUACAUGUUUGAUACUUGUGUCGCAUAAUUUUUUUUUGAACUCGACUUAAUUAAGAAUUUUGAUACAAAACCAGUCCAAAUCACCUCCAAUCUUCCUCAAAUUUUGUAUAUUGACUUAUCUAUAUAUUUUCAAUGAAUUUCAACUAUACACGCUGAAAAAGUUCCUUUUUGCUUAGAUUUUUGGAGUAUUGUAUAGAUUUUUAUAUUUCAUCACCUUAUUUGUUACCCCGCCCAUGAAAUUUUAUUUCCGUAUUGUAAGUAAUGUUUCUAAUCACGAUUAUUUGAUAAAAAGAACCCUAUUAUUUGGUUUUUCAAUUUUUGUUGGCUAGUUUUGGUAAGUCUAUAACUAAUGGCUAGAGGUUGGCAAGUUGAGAUUUAUUUGGGACAUUUGUGUAAGUUUCCCUACUAAUUUAUCAUUAAUCAUAUAUAAUAUAAAAUUUGGCUUACUAUCCACCUAUUUUAUUAUUGUUUACCACUAAAUCGGAUAAAAAUUAAAUUUGUGCGCUGUUUUAAGAAUAUGUGAUUUGAUUCAACAUAACAAAUCAAGAAUAUUAGAUAAAUGAGUUAAAAACAAAAUAUAUGAUUAAACAAGUUGUAAUGUUAAGGUCAAGCCCGAACUUUGAUUGAACAGUGACCCAAUUGUGAGUGAAGAACAUAACAAUUAAAUAAGAACCUUAGCAGUAGCUAUUUAUACGGUCAAAAUGUAUGCAUCCGAUUUAUAGGCCUGAGUUUGGGCGGGGUCAAGUUCGAGACCGGCUGACCAUACUCGAACUCGAAGACAGAGUGCGAUGCCCGGAGAUAUGAGUGUGAGGAAUACUGGGUCCAAGUGUGCUCGAUCCGAAAUAUUAUCGUUAGGAAUUUGUACUAGAACGAGCUAGAUUCCUACCAACUCCCCAAAGUCAUUGCGCAAAUCUCGAAAUAGGAUUGUACGAUUCCGUACUAGACUGUUAGACAGUUAUACCAAGAAUAUUCCUUACUGUAAAUAGAGUUAUACCUUAUUUGGGGGUUCCCUAUUAUAUAAAAGGGGACUUCAAUGAUUUGUAAGAUCAUCUUAUCAUUGAGAAAAGAAUAUACUCUCUACCUUUUUGCCUACUGUUCAUCAGUAUUAUCCUUUAGCUUUACUGUUCUUACUUUACUUUUUCUUACUUAAUUGUUCUUAUUGCCCUAAAACCACCUCGAGGUCACUAAACUCGAGGUCACUAGUGUUUGAGUAACACUGGUUUGAUUCACUUCUAUCUUUUAUUUCUACUUCAUAUUUCUUGAUUCCUAAUUGGUAUUGGACAACAUGUUUCAGCCUAAUCUGAACUCCUUCGUUAUUGUAUUUAUUGAUGAUAUUCUGGUGUACUCGCGUAGUCAGGAGGAGCACGAUGAGCAUUUGAUAGUUAUAUUACAACGGUUGAGGGAGGAGGAUCUUUACGUAAAAUUCUCCAACUGUUGGCUUAGUUCAGUGGCAUUCUUGGGACACGUGGUGUCCAAUAGGGGUAUUUAGAUAGACCCGAAGAAGAUAGAGGCGGUACAUAUUUUGCCCAGACCGUCCUCAGCCAUAGAGAUUCGUAGCUUUCUUGGUUUCGUGGGUUAUUACCGUCGGUUCGUUCUGGGAUUUUCAUCUAUUGCAUCACCUUUGGCCAAAUUGACUCAAAAGGUUGCUCCUUUCAGGUGGUCGGAUGAGUGUGAGACGAGCUUUCAGAAGCUCAAGACUGCCUUGACCACAACUCCAGUGUUAGUUUUACCAUCAGCUUCAGGUUCUUAUACAGUAUAUUAUGAUGCUUCUCAAAUCGGCAUCGUGUGUGUGUUGAUGCAAGAGAGUAGAGUGAUUGUUUAUGCUUCUAGUCAGUUGAAGCCACAUGAGAAGAACUAUCCUAUUUAUGAUUUGGAAUUGGCUGCCUUUGUUCACACGUUGAAGAUUUAGAGGCAUUAUCCCUAUGAUGUGUCUUGUGAGGUGUUUACUGAUCAUCGUAGCCUCCAGCACUUGUUCAAACAGAAGGAUCUCAAUUUGAGGCCACAGAGAUGGUUGGAGCUGCCAAAAGACUAUAAUAUUACUAUCUUGUACCAUCCGGGAAAGGCCAAUGUAGCUGCCAAUGCCUUGAAUAGGAAGGCAGUGAGUAUGGACAGUUAUUUGGCAUGUAGUCCUGUUAGGGAGAGAACUUUUGCAGUUGAUGUUCAGGCUUUGGACAAUCGGUUUGUGAGGUUGGAUAUUUCGUAGUUCAGUCGGAUCUUAGCUUGUGUGGUUUCUCGGCCUUCCUUGUUUGAUUGUAUCAUAGAGCGCCAGUACGAUGAAUCUCAUUUCCUUGUUUUCAAGGAUAAAGUUCAGCACGGAGAUGCCAGAGAUGUGACCAUUGGUGAUGACGUGGUAUUAAGGAUGCAGGGUCAGAUAUGUGUGCCCAAUGUAGAUGGGCUACGGGAGUUGGUUCUGGAGGAGGCCCAUAGUUCGCGGUAUUCCAUCCAUCGGGGUGCCACGAAGAUGUAUCAGGAUUUAAGACAACACUAUUGGUGGAGGAUAAUGAAGAAGGAUAUAGUGGAGUUUGUAGCUCGGUGUCUCAACUGUCAACAAGUGAAUUAUGAGUAUCAGAGAUCGGUUGGCUUGCUUCAGCAGAUGGAUAUUCUAUAGUGGAAGUGGGAACGGAUCACCAUGGAUUUUGUAGUUGGACUCCUAUGGACUUGAAGAAGUUCGAUGCUAUUUGGGUUAUUGUGGGUCGGUUGACUAAGUCUGCGCACUUCAUUCUUGUGAGUACUACCUAUUCGUCAGAGCGGCAUGGUGUCCGGGUUUCCAUCAUUUCAGAUAGAGGUACUCAGUUUACAUCGUAGUUUUGGAGGGCCGUGCAGCGAGAGUUGGGUACUCAGGUUGAGUUAAGCAUAGCUUUUCACCCUCAGACGGACGGGCAGUCCGAGCGCAUUAUUCAAAUAUUGGAGGACAUGUUGCGCGCUUGUGUCAUUGAGGGGUUCAUGGGACCAGUUUCUACCACUCGUGAGUUUGCAUAUAAUAAUAGUCAUUAGUCGAGUAUUUAGAUGGAUCCAUAUGAGGCUUUAUAUGGGAGGCGGUGUAGAUCUCCAGUGUGUUAAUUUGAGACGGGAAAGGCUAGGCUUUUGGGUACAGACUUGGUACAGGAUGCUAUGGACAAAGUGAAGGUGAUUCAAGAGCGACUUCGUACGGUGCAAUCGAGACAAAAGAUUUAUGCUGACAGGAAGGUUCGGGGUGUAUUUUACAUGGUUGGGGAGAAGGUUCUACUAAUAGUUUCACCCAUGGAGGGUGUUAUGAGAUUUGGGAAUAAGGGUAAGUUGAGCCCUCGGUUCAUUGAGCCUUUUGAGGUGUUUGGGAGGACCGGGGAAGUGGCUUAUGAGCUUUUUUUGCCAUCUAGUUUGUCGAGUAUGCACCCAGUAUUUCAUAUUUCUAUGCUUCGGAAGUAUAUUGGCGAUCCGUCUCAUGUUUUGGAUUUCAGCACUGUUCAGUUAGAUGGUGAUUUGACUUAUGAUAUGGAGCCAAUGGCUAUUUUGGAGCGGCAACUCCGAAAGUUGAUAUCAAAGGAUAUAGCUUCAGAGAAAGUGCAAUGGAGAGGUUGGCCCGUGGAGGAGGCUACUUGGGAGACCGAGAGAGAGAUGCGGAGCAAAUAUCCACACCUGUUUGAGGCUUUAGGUAUGUUUCUUGACUCUUUCGAGGACGAACGUCUGUUUAAGAGGGAGAGGAUGUAACGAUCCAGCCGAUCCUUCCAUGAGUUAUAUCCCCAUUUCCCCACUUCUGCUUCUUUGUGUGCUCCUCAGUUGUAUUUCAUUGUAUUGUGUUAGUUGGUUCGGGUUCGGUGUAGUUUCGAUGUGGAAUGAGACACUUAGUCUCCUAAUAAGAAGUUUAAGUUGGAAAAGACAAUCAGAUGUUGACUUAUGUGUAGAUGAUAUCAGAUGUUAAUUCUGAUGGUUUGGUUAGCUCCGUUAGGUGAUAUUGGACUUGGGAGCAGGUCCGAAAUGUGAUUUGGAGGUCCGUAGUAGAUUUAGGCUUGAAUUGACGAAAUUGAAAUUUGGUAUUUCCCGACAGCAAUGGAAAUUUUGAUAUCGGGGUCGAAAUAAAAUUCUGGAAAUUGGAGUAGGUCCAUAGUGUUAUUUUUUACGUGUGUAAAUUUCAGGUCAUUCGGACGAGGUUUGAUAUAUUUCGGCAUUUGUUUGCAAAAUUCGAAAGUUUGGAAGCUAUUAGGCUUGAAUCUGAGGGUGAUUUCGUGUUUUGAUGUUGUUUUGAGCGUUCCAAAGGUUGGAAUAAGAUUGAUUGGUGAUAUGUGACUUGUUGGUAUUUUUGGUUGAGGUCUCAAGGGUCUCGAGAUGAAUUCGGAUGGUUAACGAAAGAGUUGAAAUUCAGAUGGUGCAGCUGAAGCUGCUGCUUCUGAUGUUUCCGCACCUACGGAUUGGUGGCCGCAGAUGCUAAAGGGAAAUCGCAGAUGCAGAAUUGGCCAACCGAAGCUUGCGUUCAGGUGCAGAGGUGUUGUCGCACGUGCGACCCUGCAUGUGCGAGGUGAGAGCCGCAGAUGCAAAAAUAGGCGGAUAGGUGGAAUCCGCAGGUGCACUCUUUGGACAGCGCAUGUGCGCGUAUCUGGACCGCAGAUGUGAGACUUCUGGGUAGAAAGUAUAAAAGCCAUACUUCGCGAAUUUUUUCUCUUUCUUCACCAUUGUUGGCCGGUUUUUGAGCUUUGGGCAGUGAUUUUCAAGAGGGAAUCGAGAGAUAUUAGUGAGGUAAGUUUCUUCGGCUCAAUUACUUGUGUUUAUGAUGAUUUCCCACGGUUUAAUCAUGAAAUUAGUGGGAAAUUGGGGUAAAGUCAAAGGGGUUAGGGCUUGAGUUUUGGAGAGUUUGAUUUGGGGAUUGAAGUGGCCAAUUGAGGUCGGGUUUUGAUGAAUUUGGUAUGGAUAGCCUCGUGAGUGAAAGGAGUUUCUAGUUUUGUGAUUUUGUCAGAUUCCGAGACAUGGUCCUAGGGCCGGGUUUGGCGAAUUUUGAGAUUUAGUCUUAAUUGAUAAUUUUUCGUAUGGAACAGGUUCAUUGGCCUAUAUUGAUUGUGUUGUAUUGCUUUUGGUCAGACUCGGGACGUUCGGAGGCCGAUUCUAGAGGCGUCGCAGAGUAGGAAUUCGAUCGAUUUGAGCUAAGUAAUAGGUAAGUAAUGAUUGUAAAUCUUGCUCUGAGGGAAUGAAGCCCCGGAUUUCACAUCGUUUCACUAUUUUGAGGUGACGCACAUGGUAAAUGACGAGCGUGUGGUGCACUAUUGGGAAUUGUGACUUGGUCCAUCUCGUAGCAAUUAUUAAGUUGCGUAUUUGGCUGGAAACUAUAUGGCACUUAUGUGUCUUAGAAAGAAUUUCUACAAUUAGGGUUGAAUGCCAUAUUUGAGUCUCGUGCCAAGUUGUUUGGACCUUUGGGGUCUUUUCUUAUUAUUUCCUUACUGUUUUGACUUAAGAUCUGUACUCAAUCAUGCUAUGUUUUACUGAUUUCAUAACUCGGCCUUUAUUACUUCGUUUUGAUGCAUAAAAUGAUAUUUUGGACUUAGCACCCUGCUUUACUGACUUGAGAGGUUCCUGACUAAGUAAGGCCGAGGGCCUGUGUGAGAGGAUAUUACGGGAUAGGGUUGUGCGCCGCAGUAUGUUGUUACCGAUUUGUGAUUAUGAGAAGCCGAGAGCCUGAUUGAUUUACGCCACGAGGUGGCUUGUUAUAGCUCUUUGGGGUUGUAUGAGCCCCUUCUGAGCCUGCACACUACGAGUGAGCGCUGGUACCCUGAGUGAGUGAUAUGAUGUUAUGCCCAGGGGCUGUUCUUGAUUCGUGUUAUGACCGAGGGACAGUUUAUGAGCGACUGUGAGGUUUGCCCGAGGCGCCGAUUCUUAGUGAUGUUAUGCCCGAAGUGCGGUUUAUGAUUCAUGUUGCCCAGGGGCUGUUUUUUAUUUACUCUAAAUUUCAUUGAGCAUUUGUUGAAAUUGUUUGAAAAGCAUCUUAAAAUGAUUUUUACCGAAAAGUGGAUUUUAAACAAGAUAUUUCGACUCAUAUACUGAUUUAAAAGCAUGUUGUGCUUACUGAGUUUUCAUGAUGUGGGUUUUAUGUGAUUUUUACUGCUCAGUCUUUAUUUACCUUUAUUACUUACUGUGUUGGCGUACUCACAUUACUCCCUGCAACUUGUGUACAAAUCCAGAGGUUGUUGGACGUGCUAGCAAGCAUUGAUCUUCAUCCGCCGCAGAUAUUUUGGAAUUGGCAAGGUAGCUGCAUAGCUAUCGCAGCCUUGUUCUCCCUCCUAUCUUCCUAUAGAUAUUAUUAGCUAAUUUCCAGACUAUUUUAGUCUUGUUAUAUUUUGAAACAGUUGUAGUAUUUGGUCAUGACUUAAUGACACCCGAGGUCGGGCUUUUAUUUCCGCUUUUUAGUUUUGAGUUUCUCUCUUUUAUGGAAAUUUCAGUACGAAAAAGGCUAUUAUUUAAAAUAAAAAAGAAAUGUUGAACUAUUUUGGAAAUAUGUCGGUUGGCCUAGUUCCAUGAUAGGCACCAUCACGAUCGAAUUGGUUUUGGGGUCGUGACAGCUCUGCUCUAUUUGGUUGCGCAUUCAGAUACAAUACAAAUGUAAACAAAUGGUUCAGAGUGAUAAAUUUUAGUGAGAAAACACAAUUUAGUUGACCUUAUAACAACUAAAAGUAUAUCGUUUUGAUAACUAGAAAGCAGUUGUAUAUAUACAUGCCGCCAACAUAGUAUGACAAAAUAUCAGGAACCAAAUUAAAAACCUUGACAGAGAAUGGAAAAACAGGAAGCAGCAAAACCGAAUCCAAAUUUGCAUUUACUGCAAGAACGUCCCAAGAUAGGCCUCCCUGGAAAGAAGAAUGCAGCAAUGAAUUAUGCGUGCUAGUCAGCAAUUUUAGUAGCCUAAUAAGGCAGCCGAUAAAUGGAAAGAAACCUUUGAAAACUUUCAUCAAUUUAUGUCCAGAAACCUCAAAAUGAUUUUAUCACUAUACAGGUCUCUCCCAUCCUCAACCUAGAACGCGUCGACCUCACCAUUGACGAACUCUAUCGGCCAGCUCCGGCGAAGGAUGACUACUGCCGGUGAAUGAAAACUAGUUUCGGCUAACAUACGAGUUAUCUUCGAGGUAGGUUAUCAAUUAUUCCCAUGUUUGAUGUUUGUAUAACUAUUCGAUUUUCUCUUUCUUUUUCCACUUAUGUUUUCUUUAUCUGGUAUUAGUUCUUGUAAACACAUUAUUUUGCUUCUGCUUUAUUUAUAUUACAUGAUACAUUUGUGAUUUAUAGUUUGCAAAGUUGAGGGAUUUAUUUGUUAGGUUUUGAUUUUCUGUUUGCAACUAUGAGAUUUUCUUUGUUCCAUGUUUGCUAUCGAUAUUCUCUUUCUUGGCUAUUUAGAAAAUAGUUUCGUUGCUCCUUUUUUCUUUCUCUGGUAUUAUUUCGGGGGCUUUUUCUUUCUCGGUUAAUUUUAUCUUUCGCUGCUCCUUUUUCUUUCUCCAUUUUCUCCUUUUUUCUUUCUCUGGUAAUAUCUAGGAAAAUCAUUUUGCUGCCCUAAUCUUUCUGGUAAUAUUUUAUGUGUUUCAUUUUUGCAGUCAAUGUUCGAUAUUCGCUGUGAUUUCUAGUUUGCAAAAUUGGGGCAUUUAUUUGUCAAGUUUUGAUUUUUCGUUUGAAACCAUGAGAUUUUUGUUCGAUGUUUGCUAUCGAUGUUGGAUAUUCGAUAUUCAUUGUUUGCUUUCUUGGUUAAUCAGAAAAAUCGUUUCGCUGCUCCUUUUUCUUUAUUUGGUAAUAUUUUUUAUAAACAUAUUCUUUUAGUUCUGUUCGAUUAUUCUAGUGUUGGUUUCACUUAAAAUUUGUGUGAUAUAUUCAUGUCUAUGCUUUAGUCUAAUGGGUAAGUGUUCGCCUUCACGUCUAUUAGACAUUGGGGUUACUCUUCUCAAACAAAUUGCUUGCCUUUGUAAAUUUUCUUGCUUGGUAAAAUGUUGCUAUCUAAUCCUUAAAAUCCAUCUAUAAACUUUCGGAAGUAAAGCUUUUAUCGACUUAUAGGUAGUUCGUCAAUCAUACUCUCAUAGUUGUAAUUAAUAACUUAGUGCAAAGAGCAAAAAGCUAUAAGCAUUUUGUGCAAGUUGUAAAUAUUUGAGGUCUUUUCUUUAUAAUUACGACAUAGGAACAUAAGUUACCCAUUUCCAAUUACAUAUUUUGUCCAAUUUUAUGAUGUUAUUUGGUCACAUUAUGUCUUAGAAUAGUAGAACUUUCCUAGGAAAAGUGAAUAUCCAAACGUCUUUCUAAACAAUUUUCUUAUGAGUGUUUAGAAUCCUAAACAAUAUUCUGAUCAGUAGUAGUUGUUGUAGGAGUUCUUCAUCCUCCGUUUCUUGUCUUGUCUGAUGAGUGUUUAGAAUUUGGUCUCAAUACAUCUUCUAAAUAAUAUUCUGCUCAUUUAUUAGAAAUGGCAUUUGUAACUUUUCCUAUGAGCCGAGGGUCGAUUGGAAACAACCUCUCUGCCCUUUCGGGUAGGGGUAAGGCUCGUCUACAUAUUACCCUCCCCAGACCCCACCUGGUGGGAGUAUACUGGGUAGUUGUUGUUGUUGUUGUUAUCUAUACUUCUGAAAUCCACACUAUUUUCCUUGAUCUCAGUGUUGACUUAUGCUGAAAAUGACUCGUGCAGAUCAGUGUUAAACCACAUGGAGCAUAAUCAAUAAAGCAUAAUUUGUUCAACUUAAGGAUAGACCUUCACAAAAAUGGAAGCAACCCUACCUUCAAAACAUCUUCAACAGUCAUUCCCCGUGUUAUUAGAUACAUCUUGGAAGUAUUGCAAAAUCGUCAUUCCACUUCACAGGAUAAUUUUUCAGGAAAAGACACAAGAUCAUCACUUCACAGGAUAAUUUUUCAGGAAAAGACACAAGAUCAUCAUUCUCCGAAUAGAUUGCUGAACAGUUACCAACCAAAAGCAUGCACCAAAUGAAAGCUGAUUACGAAAGAAGUUAGCUACUUUAUCCCCCCACCCCCCUCCCACCCCCCCACACAAAAACCAAAAAAAAGAAGAAGAGUAAUUAAAGCUAAGGCGAAGNNNNNNNNNNNNNNNNNNNNNNNNNNNNNNNNNNNNNNNNNNNNNNNNNNNNNNNNCACCCCCCCACACAAAAACCAAAAAAAAGAAGAAGAGUAAUUAACUACAUUAAAGAGCACAGCAGUUUUCAAGAAUUUAUCCAACGGCAAAAGGUAGAUCGUGAACAAAGUUACCAGCCAUAGCUACUAUAUACACGAGGAUAUCAUACAAUAAUUAUUCUUAGCGGUUCUGGUCAAGCAAUGACUUAUACAUACCUAGAAGAAUCACUUCUUAGUGGCAAACUCUCACGGCAGUAGCAUUCCGAAAGUGAUGGUUGCGUAGCAGCUUAUAGUUGCCAUUCAAUGGGAGGUAUUCCCAUCUUCUCCAAAAGUUGGUUUGUCUGUGAAAAAUGCCUGCAGAAGUAAUUACCAUAGGAGGCAUGAAAAACAGUUGAUAUUAGCUUCUAGUCAAUCUAAGCACGAAACUUCAUAAUGCAAGCAGAGAACUAAACAUGCCACAUCAAGACCACCUCCAGGCUCCAAGGCACAUCUGGAUAUAUUUCAUAUCUGCGAAAUGAACAGCUGAAAAGGUUCCUGACUAAGUAAGGCCGAGGGCAGAGAACUAAACAUGCCACAUCAAGACCACCUCCAGGCUCCAAGGCACAUCUGGAUAUAUUUCAUAUCUGCGAAAUGAACAGCUGAAAAGGAAAAAAAAAAAGGGGGGGGAGGGGGGUGGAGGGGGUAGUAGAGGACCUUACUCAUACUCUAGUUACCACAACGUAUCAGUCAACAAUUAAAGAAACUAAGACGCUUGGGAAUGUUAGAGCAUGCCAUUACAGAAAACCGCAGAAAUCUCAUGUUAGAAGAUGGCAUCUCCUCAAGUAAUGAGUAAAUGGCUGGAUAUUGGCCCCACUGUGACACCAUAUGCAACUGCACUCUAGCAAAAGAAAUUCAUCCAAUCACAUUACUGUUUCUGGGCAUCAUGUGAGCUGCCUGGCCCAUGCAAACAAGAGCAAAAAAAAUCAUAUCAUUUUACAGAGGAAGAUUCUGACGAUAAGCUGAUCCACAAUUUUUUCUUUUUUCUUACACAACAAAUAAAGAAUAAAUCAGAAGGAGAAGGAAAUCAUGGAUGACGAAGAAAAUAACUAUUUUUUGACUGAUCACCAUGAUAUAAAUUCCCUUUGUCUUUUUUGUGGGCGGGAGAGAAAAGAAGUUGUGAUUUCAGAGGAAACCAGGCUCUUGAAACAAAUAAAAGGCAGAUUGGUUAUGCAUUAUUCAUGUUGUCAUCCCCCCCCCCCUUCCAUGAGCAUAUUUUAUAUUACAUAAUGAGGAAUGUUUAGAAAAUAAAUAUUUAAUACAACAGUAACAAGUAAACUGAUAUAACAUGAUUACAGCACUCGAAUCUAUAAAAAGCAUGAAAUGCUUAGAGAUUUCUGUUGAAAUGAGUUUCUAAUUUUCUAUUGUCAAGGAAACACACCGACAUCCAAAGAAGCCUCUGUUUGCAGACAAACCAGAAGGGUGUGCUGAUUUGAGAACAUGGUGCCUUGUUUCAUCAACUAACCUGUAAAAAGGUUUGAAAAUGAUUAAUUAGGAGGGAAAAGAAAAGGUUUGUGGCUUCCCAUUUGAAUCUCAUCAGCAGAAUUUUCAAUCAAUUUCAAGAAAGUAGAAAUGAACAGCCCAACUCCAUUCCAGUGCUUCUAUUUAAAUUUGAGUUUUAGAUAGAAACUACAAGACAUUUUAAGAAAUCUUCAUUAGGCAUCCAAAUCAAUUACCUGAAUCAUAAACUUUAACCUUUUCAAAAUAAAAAUGGAAAAUCAAUACCUAACAUCUAAAGUUGUACCAGGGAUAACUCAAUGUGGUGUCACCUCAACUAGCUGCAUGUAAUCUGCAGCAUAUUAUUUCUAAGACAAGGAAAGGAAAAAUCAGAAAGAAUUAUAGGGAGUAAAAUAGGUCUACUAAUCAGGUGUUGAUGGUGUAACCGUUUCUCUUAAAAAAGAAAAAACAUAACAUAACAAAAUUGUUCCAACUCAACAAGAAUAUGAACUACAACAAUAAGCCCAGUGUAAUCCACAAGGUUUGAUGCAUAAGAAUGACCAGCUAUUUUUUCUGAAAUUUCGAGCAGGUUAGAAGAAACUAUACAAGUGCAAUAUGUUUUUCUCUUCAAAAAGUAUGACCUGAACAAAAAGUGCACCAGUUCGGAUGAUAUUCUGGUGGCACCUUCUCUAUAGAGUUCCUCAAGCACCCUUCAAUAAGAGCACUGAUUUGGAUGAUGCCAUUCUAUAUUUAAUCUAAAACUGUGAAUUUGAGUAAGACUGGUGAGAAGAAAAAUAUUCAGUGAAAUAUUCAAGAUGCCAUCACUUUAGGGAUAUAUAACACGUUUGGCACAAGGUGCAACCACUCUGAUGAUACUGAAGAAUUAACGGAAAACUUAUAAACAAAAUCCUUGGCAGGGGGUAAUUUUAAUUUGGAGAUCUAAGCUUGAGUGAAGAAUUUCAGUCAUAAAACUUCUGAAAGCAAAUGAUAAAUACAUGCUCUAACCGUUGCUCUCGGCGCAUGAUAGCAAGGAUUGCAAUUGUAGCCGGAAACAAUGGCUCGUCGCCGGAAAAAACGUGCCUACUACUAAUGCUCAGCUUAUUACUCCAGCUCAUGGUGUUACGAAGGAAUUACAACCACCGACUUUUGGAAGCUUUCUCCCACAGAAGUUCCAAUCGAUUGAGGAGGUUCAUGAAGAUGGCAGCUCUGAGGAUGAAGUACUAAUUCAAUCGAUUAAAGUGGAAGAAACAACUAACCUAGCUGUGAGACGCUUACAGUUUUCAGAAGCAAGUGGAUUAGAGAAACCAACUCCUACUGCUGCUGAGAUCGUUCGAGGGAAUCGUAGCUCACAAAUGGGUAAACCACUUUCAUUUGUUCUUCCAACUGAUAGAGAUGGUAAGAAGAUUGUCAAAUUAAGUGAAGAUGACUUGAAAUCACAGGUUGAUUAUUGGAAAACUUCUCUAAUUGGUUACAUAAUUGGAGAGAAUUCUUAUGAGAAAGCUAUGGAAAAUUUUGUGCUGAAUAUGUGGAAUUUUGUUACUAAGCCUCAUAUUCUGAUUCAUUUUGAGGGCUACUGCAUUUUCAAAUUCAACACUAUAGAGGAUAGAGAUCAAGUAAUCCAAUCAGGGCCUUAUACUUACAGGAACAAACCGAUGGUGUUUAAACCAUGGGAAAUUGAUUUUUCUUUUCAUAAGGAUAUGCUAAGUACAGUUCCUGUGUGGGUUUGGUUUCCUGGGCUACCUGUAGAUUAUUGGUCAACUGAAGCUUUGAGAAAAAUGGCUAGUGCACAAUGGAGUGGAGGUGGAUUACAGUGGUGCCCUUGUACAAGAACAAAGGGGACAUCCAGUGCUACCACAAUUAUAGGGGUAUCAAAUUAAUAAGUCACACCAUGAAGGUUUGGGAGCGAGUGAUCGAGGCGAGGGUGAGGGAGAUGACAUAUAUAUCUGUGAACCAGUUCGGUUUCAUGCCGGGUCGCUCCACCACAGAAGCNNNNNNNNNNNNNNNNNNNNNNNNNNNNNNNNNNNNNNNNNNNNNNNNNNNNNNNNNNAAUUAUAGGGGUAUCAAAUUAAUAAGUCACACCAUGAAGGUUUGGGAGCGAGUGAUCGAGGCGAGGGUGAGGGAGAUGACAUUUAUAUUUGUGAACCAUUUCGGUUUCAUACCGGUUCACUCCACUACAGAAGUUAUCUACCUUGUCAGGAGGCUGGUGGAGCAGUUCAGGGAUAAGAAGGACCUGCACAUGCUGCUUAUCGACUUGGAGAAGGCGUAUGACAAGGUCCCAAGUGAGGUGCUAUGGAGGUGCUUGGAGGCGAAGAGCGUGCCGGAAGCCUACAU
rnacentral:lncRNA from 1 species